GCUACUUGCCUCUCGAAAUUUCUUGGAAAAUAAUAAUCUAACCAAAUCAUAGCCAAUUCAUAACUGCUGUAAACAACAUCACAUAAAGUAAUUUGAUACAUUACACAACAAUCUUUGAUGUUAUUAUUUGAGAAGCCUUUAAAAAAGUUAAUUAGACCCCUCAAAUGCUCAUCACACUCUGAACGACUUGAUCUAACAAAUCGAUACUAGAUUUAUUGAUAAUAAGAUUUAAUUUUACAUAUAACAGUCUUUAUCAAAUAACUAGUACAUCAGACCGUACCUUGAUUUAAUUUGAUUUCUUAAUCGGAACCAAGCUUGCGGUCGAGGAAGUAAUCGCUUUGGUGUUGAUGGUGGUGAUUUUGGGCUGUUUUGGCUCGUCUGAUUCAUCGGUAUUUCGGGAUUUCACCAGAGGGAUUUGCUGUUGAGUAGCAAUGUCUCGGCCGGCGAACUUUUGAGGAGGAAAGAAGAAAUCAGUGGGGAAGAAUUUGUACUGAAGUCCAGCCAUGGGUGUAUAGAAAUGAGAUAUUUGUGUGAAGCAUUUUGAUUCGGCCUUUCACUUAUUUAUAGAGCCACAUAUCUAAGGGCCUGUUUGCCUUUCAAUAAUGCUUAGUUUUCUUAUUAUACUUAUUUAACAUAGGAAACUUGAUUAAAAUUUUAUCUUUGUCAAAAAUCGAGUGAAAUUCAUACGUUACUCAAUUUUCACCUACUCUUAAAUUAAAAAUAUUUGAGCGAUGGUGUGUUUAGUUUUUUAAAAAGGGUUUUUGGAAUUUAAGUUGAAAAUGGAAAAUAACAUUAAUCGUUGCCACCAAACAAGCCGUUAGCUAUCGUUGACCAUUUCGGGCGGCUAAUUUGAAUAGCUAUUUAUUAUUUGAAGAAUAUUUUAGUUCAUAUAUUCCACCUAAAGAAAAGGACUGAAACAUUCUACUGCAAAAUUUCCUUUUCAAAUUUAGAUUCCAAGAUAAGAGACCAUAGCCAUGAAAAGAAAAGGACUGAAAAAUUGAUUAGUUGCACGUGUCACUGGCUGAUUGUUUUCAUACGUUGAAAUGGAUUACCAUGCUACUCGCGUGCGAUUAUUAUAAUUAUCAAUAAUCACGUCAAUAACACGGUGGUUAGACCUGCCAUGGUGUCAUCAAAUCACGUCAAUUAAAUUAUGGAGAUAGUGAAUUUUGAUUUUUAUUGUGAACAAUUCGAUACUAUUUCUGUGGCAAAUAGUAAUUUUAAAUUAUUACAUUAAUCUUACCAAGCCAAAAGGACAGUCGGAUUUGAUUGGUUUUCCACCACGGUGCAUCAAAACACGUUUCAUCUGUUAGGGACGAUGAUAUUUGCACGCUCAAGGCAAAGUCAUAUAUCAUCGUGACUGUGAAAGUCGGCUGCCUCAGAUCGUCAGACAUUUGUUUAUGUUCCAAUUCAUCAGCAACUGGUAAAUAUGAGCUAUCCAAAUGGAGGUCACAUUCAAAGGGACUAUGGUUCAACAAUUUUUCAAAUUCAACACGUAGUGCAUAAGCGGCUAAACUGUGAUCCAUCGUCUUUAACUCAAUGUACAAAAGGAGUGAUGAGUCAUUUGCAAUCUUAAUUGGGGACGCUCAAUGUAGAAAAGGAGUGAUAGGUCAUUUGUAUCCUAAUUGGGGACAGGUUUCUAUCUACUUCAUAUUCGAUUUUCUAGCUACCAAUUCUACAAUCAAUCUUCAUUUCAACGGAGAUCGUAUCCACUAGAUCCAAGUACUUGAAUCAAAAGCACUUGAUUUUGAAUGUUAUGAAGACGUUCCCUGAGUCCACUACUGCAUCAAGAGAAAAAAAAUGGAAUAUAUAUCACCAUUUGAUUAGACCACAGGUACAUAACUCCAUCAGUCCAGUUUUUUAUCUUUAAUAUCCCAUAAGAAUUCCCAUCACAAGGAUCAAUGCUAUGAAACAAUUUUUCAUUUCUUAUGUACGAUGAAUGUAACCACUAUGGAUGCAUGAUGCACAGGCACGAAGUUGACAUUGGUGGAUUGGUCUUUAUCAUGUCAAAUGUGUCAAGUGGCAUGUUCAUCUUCUUUAUUGUUUUUCACGGUGUAAUGUUUGACAUGCCAAAAAAUUUAAAAAUAACCAGGAAGAAAGUAGUAUAACCUUGAACUCCAUUUUUGCAGAUUAAGUUUCUCUUCAAGUGGGGAAAAAAAAAAAAGAAAAAAAAAAAGAAAAAGAGGGACACAAUCCAAUAAAAACAUAUUUUUUAUAUAAAACUUCUAAAAGGGCACCCACAAUUACACACUAAGCAUUUUUUGUUUUUUACUCCGUCAAUUGACUAAAUUGGGGAGGAGAAAUUACUCACAGUUGCCAUUUUCUCAAAUCUUAAUAAAAAGGGGCCCACUACAUUAAAUUUCUUUAAAAAUAAUUAACCCACUUGCAUUUGAAUAACAAAGACUAUUUCAAAAAUUAAAAAUAGCAUUGAACCUUGCAUUGGAUUAUGAUUUUAAUAAUAACAAAAAUCAUAAAUAAUAUAAAACUAAAAUAAAAUAAAUAUUAUAUUGACAAUGUAUCGUGUUGGUACAUUUUUUUAAAUUACGUAUUGGACAUGUGUCAGAAAAUUGACACCUUAGCAAUGAGCAUUCCUUCGAAUUUUGUUGAAGAUAAUGAAGAAAUCGCAACACUGCAUGCCAAAUGUCUAUAUGCAGGAGUGAAAUUUGGAACGUCCUCUUGUCUUUGUAAAAUCUGAAUUCAAAUAUAUUGUUCCCAUAAAUUACAACCAUCAUUUUGAAAUCAAUCUCAUAUUUGUUUAAUAAUUAAGAGGUGUAAGGCAAUGUUUUGGUUUAGCCAUUUCUAGUGUUUUUCGUUUAAGGUUGGGACUUGAUCUCCAUUAUGAAAUCUUCUUAAUCUAAGUAAUAUUUGGUUCAAAUUAAAGCUUUUUAGAGAGAGGGAAAAAAAAAUAAUAACUUUAAACACUCACUCAAUGCCAAUAUCAUUCCCCCUUUUAACUGCUUUUGGAAGGAGUAAAUUUCAUUGUUUAGCAUGAGCUCACCUGAGAGAACUCUCUAUUCUACCAGAAAUCACAUCAAUUCUGAUUAAAUUCAGGUUUGCUAAUUCUGCUUUGUCAAUCACUGAAAAAUUACAUAUUGUUUAAAAUAUUGUUGAGGGAUUCUUUAUGGAACAAUAUAAAUUCAGUUGUGAUGUUAAAUUAGUAAGGUCAUUUAUAGAUUUAAGUUUUGUCUAGAAUUGAAUUCUCGUUCUUCAAAAAUUGAGUGUUGCUUUCUAGGUUUUUAUAAUUUUAAAUUUUAGACCACUACUGUAUUAAAUUCUUGGAGGAAACUUGUAAGUUCUAACAUAUGCUCGUUUUGAACAAGAUGAAGACUUGAGGGUUUUAUUUGGAUUGCUCCAUCUUCCUCCCAGACUUUCAAGUUACAGAUGAUGAACUAAUUUAAUUUUAAGCCUCACGGUGACCCUAGAAAUCAGUUUCUUCAUUAUUAUAAUAAGAAAUUUUUUAUGUCUCGAAUCAAACCCUAUGAGUAAAAAUCANNNNNNNNNNNNNNNNNNNNNNNNNNNNNNNNNNNNNNNNNNNNNNNNNNNNNNNNNNNNNNNNNNNNNNNNNNNNNNNNNNNNNNNNNNNNNNNNNNNNNNNNNNNNNNNNNNNNNNNNNNNNNNNNNNNNNNNNNNNNNNNNNNNNNNNNNNNNNNNNNNNNNNNNNNNNNNNNNNNNNNNNNNNNNNNNNNNNNNNNNNNNCCUCCUAUUAAUGAUGAUGUUUCUCAAGUUGAGCAUCCUCUUGUUGGUCUCAGGAUCGAUAUUUAUACAAAAGCGAUUGGCAUAAAACAAAUAAAAUUGCAGAAAGUAAAAACACAAAAAAAUUUCGUCCCUUCGAGCCCGGAUGUUCAGCCAAAGCCUAUUGUUCUUCUCACAAUCUCUCAAAUUGUAUGCAAAAUACAAUCUAAACAUCACUAAGAUUUUACAGAGAUUGAAAAUCGAAAACCACAAAAAAGAUGAAAAACUCUCAGAGAAGAUGAUAUAAAGCCCUAAAAGUGACUGGACAGUGCCAUGAAGGGUCACAGGAGGCUAUAUAUAUUCUAAACAAUGAUUUAGAUCCAAUGGUCACAAUAAUGCCAAAUGUAAGGCCAAGAAUUCAUCUCACAUUUAAAGAGAAAGUCGUGUUUCCAAUAACACAUUUUUCUUAAAGGAUAAAACCCGGUGGCCCAACCAGCAUGGCCCAAAAACCUUUAGGUUUGGCCCAAUCCAAGAAUAGAGAGGCAACACACAAAAAUCUCCACUUUGCUGAUCUAUUCUUAGGAUUCUUCUGUAGAUUCAAGACAAUCUACUAGUUUCAUUUGCUCUGAAAAAAGGAAAGAGUUAGUUUAUUUUCAAAUGAAACAGAUUCAAAGACCUUAAUUGAAUUUAUUACAUUUCAAGAUAUAUUCAGAAUUUUCAAAGAAUUUCUGAAUUUGUUGAAGGGUAGAACCUUAAUACCAAUGUCAGAAGGAUUAAAUUCAAUUAAGGAUUAAACUCAGUUGGAAUUUUAACCAAGUUAAUCAAACCUUUUUCAACCAGAUUUCUAACAAAGUAAAAGCUAAUAUCAACAUGCUCAGUCCUAUCAUGAUAUACAUGGUUUCUGCUUAAAUAGAUUGCACUUUGGUUAUUUGUACAAAUUUUAAGAACUUCAUUCAUAAAGCCAAUGUAAUGCAUUAAUUUAAAAAAAAAAAAAGGCAAAAUAGUGAGGCGGUGAAUUGGAUACACAUUAAUCAAACCCAUUAUCAAAAAAAAAAAAAAAAAAAAAACNNNNNNNNNNNNNNNNNNNNNNNNNNNNNNNNNNNNNNNNNNNNNNNNNNNNNNNNNNNNNNNNNNNNNNNNNNNNNNNNNNNNNNNNNNUUUUUUUUUUUUUUUUGCCAAUGUCUUAGGAAUUAAGUGGUCUACAUUAUUAGGUUUGAAUUAUUCAAUUUUGAAAGAUAAGUAAAAAGUUACUUUUAUAGUUGUUAGAUUGUUAGAUUAAAUUCAAUUUUAUUAAAUGGGUUAAGUAUAAUAAAUUAUGAAAUUGAGUAAAGUGAAAGAAAAACCAGUUUUAGCGAUUAAAGAGACCGUGUAAAUUACUUAAACGUGAAAUGAUUAAAUUUGGGUAUCGCCUAUUUAAUUAUUGAAAUUACUUAAAAUAAUUAAAUGUUGAUUUAAAAAUUAUAUUAUAUUUUAUGCGGCAAUACUGACAUUGGGACAACUUAUCGAUCGAGUUGAUUUUGCGAACAUAGUACCGUGAGUGGAAAAAUAUAAAUAUUUUACAGUAUUUAUAAAUUAAGUAUAUUGUUAAAGAAUGUGCAAUUAUAUGUAAUUACGUGUUCGAAUUAUAUGAUUUUUAUGGAAGUAUUUUUUAUUAUGAUACAUGUGGGAUUUCAAAGAUUGUAUACGGUACAUUGUGAAUUGGAAUAUGAGAAGUGAUUUUGAGAUCGACCAGAAAAGUACCCGUGAUUAUAUAUUUCUUCUAGUUCACUGAGAGGUCUUGUCGUGUUCUAUACUACACUGAGGGGUCCUUGACCGGGGAUGAAGGGAUCUCGACCGUGUACAUAUAGUUCACUGAGGGGCUUUGCUCGUGUUCUAAAAUUGAUUACCAGAGAUUUUUGAGACCGACUUUCGUUCACGGAAGGGGCCAAAGGCCCGUGGCGAAAGUUCUUAGCCCGAGGGGCGGAUUACAUAUUUUAAUCAGAGGGUACAAUUUUGGUGGAUUUUUCAGUACAUUUGAGGUGUUGAGAUUAUAGCAUAAUUACCAUCUUAUGUUCAUAUCAUGAUUUUAAGAUGAUAUUGUAUGACUUUAUGUGAAUAUUUCACUUUUUGGCUAUAAUUACAUGAUGGUAACUUGUGAAUUAUCAAAUGAUGUGAAUUUGAUUUUCAAUAAAAAUGUGUAAAUGAAAAAGUAUAAUUAUUUUUGAACUUCUCCACUCACUGAGCUAUCAACUCAUAUAUUUUCUCGUAAUUUUUCCUACAGGUAGCAAUUGAUUCUUUUUAGCUGAAAGAACCUAAUGAUUUCGGAAUGACAGCCACACGAUAUGUUGAGUGUUAUAAAGUCAUAUUGAUGGGGGCAUAAAGUAAAUAUUUUGGGCCCAUCGCAUUAUGUUUUACAUAAACAUUUGAUUUUGUUGCAUAGUUAGCCUUGGUGAUAGAAUUGACAUCUAGUCAACAUCUUUCAUCGACGCACGUCACGUUUCGGGUCCACUAAGAUGAUUCGGGACGGAUCGUGUCAGCCAAGUUCAUUUAAUAAACCCCUUAACCAUAGUCCCUCUUUGACAGCAUCACAUGCUGCAAUGUACACAGCUUCUGUAGAAGAUAAAACUACAAGUUUUUGUAAUUGGAACUUCCAACUAAUACAACAAUCACAAAGAGUAAACACAUAAGAAGUUGACCUUCUUUCAUCUAAGUCACCUACAAAAUUAGAAUCUGUAUACCUCUUUAAGAUAACACCUUUAUUACAUCUUUGAAAUUUUAAUCUCAGUCCAAUUGAACCUUUUGAGUACCUUAUCAUCUUUUUAAUAGCUAGCCAAUGUGUCUAGCCUAGAUUAGCCGUAAAUCUACUAAGAAUGCUUAUUCCAUGAGUCAGGUCAAGUUUGGUAGAUAAUGGAGCCAACAGUACUUGCAUAAGGUAUUUUACAUAAUAGAAUCUUUACAAAAGGAGUCAAAUUCAAAAUUACAAAAUCCAAGGCCAUUAUCUACUCUAAGUGCUUUGAUCUUUUUAUUUAUCUGUUUUCCUAUCAUUAGUUUCCAUUGCUUAAAAGUUUGGAAGGUAUUUGAUUUAUGUUUUAAAAGAGAGGUCUAGAUUUUUCUUUAAAAAUUAUCUAUUAUUAACAAAUAAAAUUUGAAGCCACUUGGAGUAUUUAUUGAUGCUAGGCCCCAUAAGUUAGCAUGUACAUACUCGAGUGUAGAAGUGAAUUUAUGGACCCCUAUUUUAAAGGGCAGUUUACUUUGUUUAACAAUAACACAAUCUUCACAAAAUUCAAGAUUUUCAAUAUCAUCCUUUCCAAAACAUUUUAAUUUAUUUAAAAUUGUCAGACCUUUCUCACUAAUGUGGCCAAGUCUCCUAUGCCAAAUUAGGGUUUUGUUAUCAUGAGAUUUCACAAUUCUAGAGCUGUUUCCAACUAAUGGUUUAGCUUGCAGUGUCAAAAUCUCAUUCGAUUUCGGAGAGGAAAUUAUUUCUCUAGAGUUUAGACUUAUUUUGGUCAAUCCUUUAUGGAUCCUAAUUUCAUAUUCAUCAUCCAACUGCCGAAGAGAAAUCAAUUUUCUUUGAAGAUUAGGUACAUACUUAGUUUGGGACAGUUCAAAGGUAUUAUUAUUCUCUAGCAAAAGCUUAAGGUUUCCAAUACCUUUUAUCUGACAAGUCAUAUUAUUUCCCAUCUGAACUUGACCACCUCUAAGUUCAGUUAAGCUAGUGAACCAUUCUCUAAUGGGACACAUAUGAAAUGAGCAACCAGAGUUUAAAAUCCAUUCAUUUAGGUUUCUUUUGGACGUGAUAACUAGGUCAACCCCUGAAUAUUAGGUUCAUUAUUGUAGGCAAUUGUUGUAGACCCAUCUGAGUUUGUUUUUCCUUUCAUGUCAGAUAUUUUUUUUAAAACAAUCUUUUAUGAGGUGUCCUGUUUUUUCACAAUAAUAACAUUUUACGGCUGGUAACUUCGACUUUGAUUAAGUUUUAUUCUGAUUCCUGAAUUUUGGAAAUUAAGGUUUUCUUUUCUUGUGUGAAUUGAAAUUGCAUUGAUUGUAGUUUUUGUUUGGAUUUACCUUUUCCCUAAUAUUUAGACCUUCUCCAAACUUAGAUCUUUAGAUUCAAAUUUCAAUUCGAGUUCCCUAUUCCUUAAAGAUGAUAUAACAAUAUCAACAGUAAUGUCGAUUCUUCCGUACUCUAAAGCGUUUCUCAGAUCUCUAUAUUUAUCACCUAAUGCAUUUAACAGAGCAGCAACUUGUUGAUCUUGAGAUAACUUCUCAUCGCAGUUAGUUGACUCUUGAAUCAAUCUUGUGAAUUUAUCAAUGUUUUCUUCUAAACUUGAGGAGGGAUCAAAUCUAAAAUUGUAGCAUUGCCUCAAAAUAUAGCAUUUGUUAGGCAAGAUUUAGUUAGGUAUAGGGACUUAAGUUUGGUCAAAAGACCUUGUGUAUUAAUAGGUUUUCCAACCAUCCUAAUAACACUGUCAAACAGGUGCAAGAAUAUAGAACUCCAAGCAAUCUCAUCCAAUUCCUAUCUUCAAUAGGCACUAAUUUUAGUACCCAUGUCCCAUCAAUAGCCUAACACAUCUCUGUUGUAAUAAUAAAACCCUCAUUUUCUGGUACCACAAACUAAAAUCUCUGGUCCCUUUCCAAAUUUAUACUUCAAAUUUUUGUCAAGUUGUCAUGAUUACAGAUUCAAGUUUAUAUGUGCCACAGGAUAUGAUAGGUAUAGACUGUGUGAAAGAACAAUAAAGAUUCAAAUAUCCCAGUCUAGUAUUAAGAUAUACAAUUGAUCAACAAUAAUAAUUAAAUCAGGUUAGCUACCAAUUUGAUAGGUCUAAGGAGAGGUGACUCGUAAAUCCACUACCUCCUUAGAUUCCCAGAUCCUCGCAGGAGAUUUUGGACAAAGGAAGGUAGUAGUAGAUCACUUACCUUAAUAAACAAAUCAAGAUAGGCAGUAAACAAUUUAAUAAUUGAUUGAAAAAUAAGAGAGUAGGGAAAUUAUACGAGAAUUAAAACCUUAAUGUUUCAAAGUGGAGAAGGUAGCAAGCAAAUACCAAAACCGGUUGCAAAGUCCAAAAUAUUGCACAAGAAGCCAACGAGUCACAGCAACUCAAUGUAACUUAGGAGUGAGUCAUAAGAUAUCAAGAAUUGUGGUGAGUCAAGUUAAUUCACCAUCACUCAGAACGAGUUUUGAAAAAUACAACUCAGUAGUAAUCAGAAAACAUAGAACUUCAAGAACCCAAGAAACCACAAAUUUCUUUCAAAAACAAGAACUAACAAUAUCAUGAAGUAUUCAAAGAUCCAAUCAAAAAUUUAAUCAAAGGUAAAUCUUAGCCAGAAUUUCAGAAAAACUCAAAAAAAAAAAAAUGGAAAAAUUCAUAUAUGCAAUUUAGGAUUUUNNNNNNNNNNNNNNNNNNNNNNNNNNNNNNNNNNNNNNNNNNNNNNNNNNNNNNNNNNNNNNNNNNNNNNNNNNNNNNNNNNNNNNNNNNNNNNNNNNNNNNNNNNNNNNNNNNNNNNNNNNNNNNNNNNNNNNNNNNNNNNNNNNNNNNNNNNNNNNNNNNNNNNNNNNNNNNNNNNNNNNNNNNNNNNNNNNNNNNNNNNNNNNNNNNNNNNNNNNNNNNNNNNNNNNNNNNNNNNNNNUAUAGUCCAACCAAUGAUCUAGAUCCAACAAUCACAAUAAUACCAGAUGUAGGACCAGAAAAUAAUCUCACAUUUAAAGAGAGAGUCACAUUUUUAAUAACGCAUUUUUCCUAAAAGAUAAAACUGACAAUUAGAUUUGGCCUAAUCCAAGAAUAGAGAGGCAACCCACAACCCUCCCUUCACAAGACCAAUGAAUUUUGAAAACAACCUAUCGAAUUCUGCACCCUUUGCACAAAUUAAAUCCUAGGAUGUAAUCACUAUAUACUCGGAGACUAAAGGGACAAGCCAUAUAUUUUACAUGACUUGUAUUUUUGUAAAAUUCACCAAAGGUAGCUGCAGGAAUGGAGAGCAUUACACAUUAGCUCAUGGUGUUGAAGAUUUACGAAAUCCCCUCCAAAUUGGCAAGAACUUGUUCGAGGAAAGAAGAGAGGCACUGGAGUUUUGGUGCUGACCAAAGAAUGAUACACAGGAUGAAAAUUUGCAAUUUGUUUUACAGUGGACGCGAGUGUCAAUAUGGAGUGCAACUUUCUUCAUGAAUGUCCAAUGAAAUUUAUGACUUACAAAGCAAAAGUGAGUGUUGUUAAAAGUACUAGAACUUCAUGGCCCGAUUUGAUAAAUAAAAGUGAUUAUUCUUAGCUUGAUUAUGUUAAGAACAUCAGCAGUAAUUCUGAUACUUUCCAGCAAAGACAGCAUUUUGGAAAACGAUACUAGGUUGCAACUGGGAAAUUGGCCAAUGCCCUUUUGGAGAAACAUGUCAUUUUUCUCAUGAUAUUUACUCUCGUAGUACAAUUUAAAUCUAUUUUUUUUUUUUUUGGCCUAGUUCAGUACAAUUAAUGUUUUUGCUAUGAACAUAACUUGCUGAUUUACCAUGUUUAGCAACAUCCUUUUACGGCAUUAACAGAAAAAUGAAGGUUUUCAUUAAAUAGCAACAGAUAACACAUUUUGUCCUUUUUAGCUAACUAAAAAUUUUGGUGAUUCAAAUAACACUUUCAAAAUACCAUUACGAAUAUUGAUAUUUAUUUUAAAAUGACACGUAUACGCAGUUAUACUAUAAUAUUUGAAUCAAAAUGAAAGACAGGGAAUAUCAUGAAAACUAUUUUAUCAAGAUCCUAAUGUUUCUCUUUUACCUAAUUCAAGGCCCUUCUUAUAAUCAAUUUCAAUAAAACAUUUCCUACUUGAGCAUCGUUUUCAAUUAGUAGCAUGUUUAUUUCCUAUUGGAAAUACUUUACAUUUUAAGUAAACUUCCAAUACAUAUGCAGUUGCAUGGUUAUCGUGUUGAGACAGAGAUGGUAAUGAAUUCAGGCCACAAAAUUCUAGAAGAGCCCCUCCUAGGCCUGUAAUUGGUUUAUCUUGUGCAACUGCAGUCAUUGUUGCUCCUGCAAAUUAAUAUGAAGAAAGAAAAAAAUGGAAGCAUGACAGGCAGGUUAAGGAGAUUUAUGUUGAUUGGUUGGAUGAUUUCUUGCCACCUCACAACUCUUCUAGCAAUGAAUAGAUAUGAAUUUGAGAUUAGCAUUUCGCAAUUACUGUCAGACUUUUUGAAGAUGAAUGAUUAUCAUCUUUUGACUAAACUUUUUUCUCUUUAUUUGGGAUGUUGGUAAGUUUUAAUUUCAACGAUAGAUUCCACCUAUUUUCCUUCAUUGAUUGGAAUCAUUCAGUGUAAUUUUGAUUGAAUGAUUUUCUGUAGUAGGUUCAAAUACAUUAUUUUUGUUUUUAUGGUCAUGUUUUUAUGUUUUAAAGGCUCUAUUGUGUUCGUUAAAUCAUCAUGAUACAAUUUUUAACUCUCUCUAUAUGUACUUUUUGCCUCCUUACCAUGACAUGCAUAUGCAACCAAGCAAGGUUUUCCCGUUAAUACAGAUCCAAGGUGAAAAAUAAGUUUGGCUGCUUUUAAAGAGGCCCGAUGUAGGACAUUUUAAAAUUAUACUUGGCCCAGCCAACACGUCCAAGUGCAGUCGAUUUUCAAUUCUCUCUCUCUCUCUUUAUUUUUUUUCUUAUUUUUUUGUUUUUUAAGAAAGAAAGCCAAAGGUAGCCUACACAGCCUAUGGUUGAGACCGUAACGGGAGGGAAAACACAGAAUGAUAAUGGCAUACACCAAAACUAAUUCAUUGAUAAUGUAAUGAAGGCAAGCAAAGUUGGGAAUUAUAUCAUAAAAAAUACUCAAUCUUAUUGCCAUAAAAAGUUAUUGCAGAUUACAUUCCAAUUUAUACAUACUAGAGGACAAUGGGAAAUGCAUCAAAAUAAAUGUGGCUAUUACAUAUCCAAGAAGACUCCUUAAAUUACUCAAUCAAUUAUUGAAAUACUAGUAGACACUUGGAAAAAAUAAAGUUCAGUAAAUGAUUCUUGAAUUCAUUAGUGAUCAUUAAAAAAUGCUAAAAUUCGAUAAAAUGUACAAACUAAAUAACAAUGAAUAUAGAAUUACAAAUAUAUCCAAUCAAUUCAUUAAUUGUUGAGUUCAAAACAACAUAAAGUAAAAUUAAUUUACCAAAAAAUAGUUAGACUUCAACUUUUGAAAAAGCUAUCUUGUACAAGUGGAAUACACGUCUUCCCAUAAGGGAUAUAAUAUGCAAACAAAUAAGAAAAACUCAUCAUGAACUUGAUAAAAUCUAUGUUGUAGCAAGAAAUGUAGGAAAAUCACAUUAAAAUUGUAGGUUUCCUUAAAAUUUUCAUCAAUAUAAUCUUGUUAUUUGACUCUAAAAAUUGAUAUAAUACAACAAUACAUACAAUGUAGAUUGAGAUAAAGUCUUUACAAUUACUACAAAAUGCAUCAUCUAAGGUCCUUGUGUUAGACAACUUGUUGUCAAACGAUCUUCUAGGGCCGUGAUGAUAACUCAAUUAUAAUUUCAGUCGGCUUAGACCAAAUGACUGAGUGAUUUAUUGACACCAUGAAAUGAAUGACCAAACUCCAAUUUGGAUGGGCCACUCGAAGCGAACUAAUUUAGUAAAGUUGCUUACGACCCGACCCAUUCACUUGGAUGGCUUAGCAAUAAGAUCCAUUUUAUUGGCCCGCUAUUAUUUGGUGUUGGGCCUCUCAGGCCACAACCUUAACCUAACAUAAUUUACCUAAUUUUUUUAGCCUAUUUGGUUAGAAUGACAGUCUCUCCUUUGCUGCCUCCAGCGCAUGAUUUCGCUGCCUUCUUUCUUCUCCAUCUCUCGGUUCAUUCUCAGUUUGCUACCUUUGCGAUUGAUCUUUGUGAGAUUAUCUGCUAUCCUUUGUGGUCUCUUUGUGGGCAUUGACUAACAAUCAUGAAAGGAGAAGAAAUCUAGUUGGAUGUGCUUGGUCUUGUUCGGUUGUGGUGUUGAUCAUAGUGGUGAAUUGAGCUUGGUAUUACCUUGGUGGCUAUGAGUUUUCAUCUACAUCUGAUGUUAAGGCAUGGAGGUUGAAAAUCCAGCUAAAAUUGCAAAGGAGACGUGAUUUCCCUUUCGAACCCGAAUCUAAAAAUUCCAAAUUUCAGCCAAACGAGACCUCCAGUGGAUGAACGGUAGCUGGACCCAUACUUAGCAAAGUGAAACACCUCCAGUGGUGGGAAGCAUGAUGGUGGCGACGUGUACAACAACUUUUCGACGAGCUUUUUUCAAGCAGAAUACUUAUUUUGAUCUCCUAAACAUAUUGAUAUCGUUUACUCAAUGUUUUGGGUUACGUAGGAAAACUUGAACGAUUUUGCCGCCGGAUGCACAUUCUAUGAUUGAUUGGAAAGUUGCAUUGAAAAAAUAUUUGCUGAAUCUUUAGGGCGAAUAGUAGUGGCCCUAAAGCAGUAAAUUCGCAUCUCUUGUAAUUUACGGACUCGGAUAGGUCUGCUCUGGUAAAUUGGCUUAACUUGUUUAAUUUUCAAAAUGAGCACAUCGCCGUUUGAGGUGGCAAUAAGAUUGUAAUUACUGUAAGGGGUAACAUUGAUUGUGCUAGAAAUUAAGAUUACUUGAUCUUAAUUGUUUCAAUUGAGCACUUGCUUUUGAUGAAUUAGCUUAUUGUUCUUUGUGCUAUAAAUGUUGUGAGAUCUCUUUUGAUUGGACAUAUCUAUUUUGUUGCAUUGUCAAUUCUGUUAAUUUCAUUAGAAUACCGAGACUUUAUCUGUUAGAACAUUCUCUUGAUCUAAAACCACGAGUCUUAUGAAACCUUGUGUGGUUUGAUUGUGAUUUGUUCAUUUUUUAGUUGUUUGUGAAAAUGACAACUCACAACUUCGAGUUGAGAAUUUUUAUUGAAAAUUUUGAUUUUUCAAUCUAGCAACAAAAAUUGAAGGGUAUUUUAGUCUAACAAAAAGUUUCAAAAGCCAUUGAAGAUAAUUUUUCAGCAAAUUUUUCAAAAGAACAAAAAGAAAAAAUUGAUGACCUUGGACUUGUCUAACGCUAUUUUAAGAAAGGUGGGCAAACUCAAAACCACCAAAUAAUUUUGAAAAAAAUCGAAAGACUUGUAUUUACUCAAAUCUACCCCGAACAAGCUUUACUUACUUGAGCAUUUCUUCACUUUAAAAUGAAUCCUUCAAAUGAUCUUGAUAACAAUUUAGAUGUGUUUAACAAGUUAGUUUAAAAUAUUGUUAGCUAUGAAGAAAUAGUGUCUGAAUCCUACAAGGCCAUAAUUUUGCUUAACUCUAUGUUUGACACGUAUAAAGAAGUUAAAAAUGUAAUUAAGUACAACGGGGACAGUUUGACGUCUGAAAUUGUAAUUGACUUAGAAGUAAGGAGAUGAAAAUUAGAUCUAAAAAACAUGAUAAUAAAAGCGGAGAGAAACAUAUGAUACGAGGUAGAACUCAGUUUAGGUAAAAUAGUCUUGACGAAUACCAAAGUAGUGAUGAGUUAAGUAGUAAUGGAGGGGGAAAAAAGGGGCAAGAAUAGGUCUAGAACAAAGUCUAGAACAAAGUUUAAAAAAUACUAUGGCUAUGAAAACACGGGGCAUUUUAUAAAUGAAUGUUAUAAGGAGAAAGGUAAGUUAAAGGUCAAAGAGAGAGAUGAGACGAAUGUGUUGUCUUCUGCCCCGAUGUUGAUGACGGUGAAGUUUACAUGAUUACAAGUUCUAUUGCUUAUACUGCUGAACUAAAUCUAACUGCUAAUUCUUCCAUGCAUGGGUGGAUACUUAAUUUUAGUGCAUCUUUUCAUGUGAUAUCCAUGAAAAGAAUUGGUUUGAAAACUUUCAUGAAUCUAAUACUUGGCAUGUUGUGUUGUGUGAUAAUUUUGCCUACACCUUGAAAGAUGUUAGAUAUAUUUCUGAACUGUCUAGGAAUUUAAUUUCAAUAAUAAGACUUGAAAAAGAUGCCUUCACCGGUAAAUUUGGAAAUUGAACAUUAAAAAUGAUUAAGGGUGCAUUAGUUUCUAUUAAGUGAACUAAGAAAAGUGAUAUUUAUAUCACUACUAGAGAAGUAAUUAGAGGUUUAAACUCCUCUAUUUCUUCUUCCAAGGUUGAUCACACACAUACAUAGCAUAAUAAACUAAUACACAUAAGCAUUAGAGGACUCAAGCUUCUUAAUGAAAAAUUGCAUUUGUUAAUGAUUGUGUGCUUGAUUUGUCAUUCUGUGAUCACUAUGUGCUUAAUAAACAUAAUCGAACUUCUUUCUUCGCUAGUGUUCACAAAGCUGAAGACAUGGUUGAAUAUGUGCAUUCAAAUCUGAAGGGUCCUGCUAGUAAUUCCACAUCGGGUAAAAAUAGAUAUUUCUUGCCUAUUAAUGAUGACUAUAGUAUGGGUCUAUCUUUUAAAGGAUAGAUCCGAUACUUUGCACAACUUUAAUAACUGGAAAAGACAAAUAGAAACCAAGCUGGCAAAUGGAUUAAAUUCUUGAGAAUAGGUAAUGGCCUAGAUUUUUGUAACACUGAAUUUGAUAGUAUGUGCUAGGAAAAUGGAAUAACAAGGCAUGAGACUUUUCCUUACACUCCUAGGAAAAAGGGAUAGCUGAAAGGAUGAAUAGAACCAUACUAGAUAAAGUACUUCAUAUAAUGUUAUGUACUGGUGUCCCAAAGUCGUUUUGGAAUAAAGCUGUUAUGACUGCCUGUUAUUUGAUUAAUUUGACUCAUUCUUCUACUCUAAAUGGUGACACUCUUUAUGAAAGGUGGUCUGAUAAACUAAGUGAUUACUUUACACUUAGGACUUUUGGCUAUGCUGCAUUUUCUCAUUAAAGUAAGGGAAAGCUUGAACCUAGAGCUAGAAAGUUUGCCGUUCUAGGAUAUCCUGAGGGUGUUGGUUAUAGGUUAUGGGAUGGAAGCCAAAAAGGAGUUAAGAUCAUCGUAAGUCGGGAUGUCAAAUUUAAAAAGGGUGAGAUGUCUUUCCUUAAGGAUGAACCGGACCUAUGAGUAAAAUAGAACCAGGUAAAGAGAGAGAUCAAUUUAAGGUGGAGUUUAGGAAAACUUAGCACAUUUAUCCCUACUACUCCAAAUUAGAGGCUCAGGUUCAGGAGAAGGGUGUUGAUUAUAAUGAGAUUUUUUUCAUCAGUUGUUAAAUAUACUACUAUUAGGGUCAUGAUUGCAUUGGUUGCGUAUUUUGACUGGGAACUUGAACAACUUGAUUGAAAAGUUGUAUUUUUAUGUGGUGAACUUGACGAAUAAAUCCUUAUGAAUCAACCGAAAGGUUUUAAAGACAAACUAAAACCAAAUCAUGUGUGUUUCCCCAAAGGGUCCUUAUACGGCUUAAAGUAGUCACCUAGAUAAUGGUAUAAAAGAUUAUACUCUUUUGUACUCACUAUAGGGUUUCAAAGAAGUAAGUUCAACCAUUGCCUAUACUUUCAAUAUAACGAGACUGAAAAUAACUGUGUUUUUACUGCUCUAUGUGGAUGAAAUACUCUUGAUACCCGAUUCAAUCGUCAAUCUUCCUCUCUAUAUUUCAUCUUCAAUCUUCAAUGUAGAUGAAAUAACUGUGUUUUUACGAUUUAUUUCAUCUUCAAACGUCGCAUCCUGAAUUUACAAUUAUGGUGUGGGACUUCCUCAAUCGGAACCUAUCCUCGACAACCACGACCACAUCCACCAACCAUUAUAACUAAUGGAAUUUAUCUCCCAAGAAGAUGCUGACACUUGAUACCAACUGACGCCGUAUAGGAUAGUGAUUAUCCUAUUGGCUUGUUGUAGUAGAUGAUUUGUUAAUUACCCUGCUGUCAACACACAUACGCCAUGACCCAUCUUUCUUCGGCACUAGUAGAGCAGGAACUGCACAAGGACUCAUACUCUCACGAAUGUAGUCCCUUUCCAAUAGUUCUACCACCUGUCGUUGCAACUCUUCAGCUUCCUUGAGACUGAGGUGAUAAGCUGGUCAGUUUGGUAUACUCGACCCCGGAAUAAGGUCGAUCUGAUGUUGAAUGUCCCUCAUAGGUGGUAAUCCUGGUGGAAGAUCCUCCGACAACGAGUCAGAAAACUCCAUCAGUAGUUGCUGCACUUCUACUGGUAAUUCCCAAUCCACAUUCGCUGCACUAUUUUCACGAGGCAUUAAAGCUUAAACUAUUUUUUCACGCCCAACCUCAACCAAGAACUUGGACAUAGAAAGUAGAUUGGUGUUAUUAACUAACGGGGCAGGGAUGUUUUCUUCCCUACGAGACGCCAAACAAUUUUCUUCCCUUUGGUGCCAAGAGAAUAAGUAUUCUUCCACCCAUCAUGGAUAACGCUGCCAUCAUACUAUCAAGGUCGUCCCAACAAAACAUGACACGCAUCCAUUGAUACCACAUCACACCAAGCAUUAUCAAAAUAUUUUUUUCCAAUCGAAAAAGACACUAAGCACCAUUUUUCUACCGUUACCUCACUACCUUUAUUCAGCCAAGACAAUUUGUAUGGUUUGGGAUGACGAUUCGUCUUCAGUUGCAGUUUCUCGAUAGCCUCCUUAGACAUUACAUUCUCACAACUGCAACUAUCAAUUAUCAGCUUGUAGACUUUAUCAGCAACUGUGCAGGUUGUGUAGAAAACGUUGGUCUUCAACCAGUCGUCCCUUGAAUCGCCUUGGGAGUCAGCAGGCUCUUUCUAACGACCAGUGUCUCCUGGCCAUCUCCAUAUAGCACGUCCUCAUCUUCACCAUUAUCAUACACAGGCUCCCCAACUUCCUCGAACUCCUCUAUCAUAUCUUCCUCAAUCAGAAGAUUUUUAUUCUUCUGACUAGCAGGCUUCCUGCAAUUAAUCGCCCUAUGCCCCUGUUCACCACACCUGAAACACUUAAUACUUGAGUUGGAAUUGUCCUGCUGUGGCUGAUAAGCAGGACGAGAUUCUUGAGGGCGAACUGACUGACUAACUUUACCUCUGACCAUUGGCCUCCUACUCUGCUAUUUCUCCACUGCAAGUGCCCGUUGAUAUGCCUCAAAAACCAUCUACAAUGAAUGAAGGCUGAGAACAUCCUGCAGGGGCGGCCUUAAUCCCCCCAAAUAUCGUGCUACCAUCUGCUCCUCUGUCUCAGAUAAAUCAUUCCGAACCACCAGCUAAUAGAAUUCCUCAGUAUAAUCAUUGACGGAUCUUUUGCCUUGCCUCAGUGAAUGGAGCCUCUGAAACAAGGUUUGAGUGUAGUUCAAAGGGAGGAAGUGCCAUUUCAUCUUCUUCUUCAUCUUUUCCAGGUCAGUAAUUUUGGAUUUUCCUUGUCAUUCCCGUGAACGCUUCAACUAUUCCCACCAUGCAGAUGCUCUACCUUUGAGUUUGAUGGCGAUCAAUUUCACUUUGACAUGAUUUAUAACCUCCUUAUAUUCAAAAAUCCGCUCCACUUCAUUUAGCCAAUCAAUAAAUCCUUCAGCGUGCAACAUACCAAUUGACCUUAAAGUGGAUACCACCAGAUCAUAAUCAGGCCUGGAGAUGAGUGGAAGACUGCGUUCAAGACACAUCAUGGAUUGUACGAGUGGAUGGUCAUGCCCUUUGGACUAUCCAAUGCACCCAGCACUUUUAUGAAGUUUAUGCAUCAGGUUUUACGGUCUUUCAUGGGGAAGUUUAUGGUAGUCUAUUUUGACGACAUACUUAUUUAUAGUCUAACAUGGGAGUCACAUUUUAAUCAUCUCCGUGUUGUCUUUGAUGUAAUGAGGACGGAGCGCUUAUUCAUCAAUCAGAAUAAGUGUUCUUUCUUCACAACUUUCAUAACUUUUUUAGGGUUUUGUCGUGUCUACUAAUGGUGUUCAUGCAGAUCAAUCCAAAAUUGAGGCAGUUUUGAAUUGGCCCAAGCCAAAAACUUUGCACGAUGUCAGGAGUUUCCAUGGAUUGGCAUCCUUCUAUCGUCGGUUUAUCAGAAACUUUAGUACCUUGAUUGCUCCUAUCACAGAGUGCCUUAAAGGGCGUGAUUUUCAGUGGACCGAGGAGACAGAGGCUAGCUUUCAGUUGGUUAAGCAGAAGAUGAUGGAGGCCCCAGUCUUGGCACUUCUGGACUUUGAGAAGGUGUUCGAGGUAAAUUGUGAUGUGUCUGGAGUUGGUAUUGGUGGUGUUCUGAGUCAGGAGGGGCAUCCAGUAGCCUUUUCAGUGAGAAGCUAUCGGGAUCGAAGAAAAAUUAUUUCACUUAUAACCUAGAGUUCUAUGCCAUAGUUCAGACUCUGAAGCAUUGGCGUCAUUACCUGGUACAGAGGGAGUUCAUCCUUGUUACUGAUCAUGAGGCCUUGAAGUAUAUCAAUAGUCAGCACAAGCUGAGUAGGCGACAUGCAAAGUGGGUGACAUACUUGCAGGAGUUUACUUUCACACUAAGGCAUCAAGCAAGGAGUUUGAAUCGAGUAGCAGAUGCAUUGAGCCAUCGUACAUUACUCCUCACCACCAUGAGUACCAAGAUUGUCGGAUUUAAGCCAUUUCUUGAUAUGUAUGCUGCAGAUCCUUCAUUUGGGAAGAUAAUUUGGGAGGUAACUGAUAAUCAUCGACUUCUAACCGUAACACUAAGUUUAUGAGUCAUUUCUGGAGGAGUUUAUGGGAUUUCAGAGUAUUUUCUAUGGUUUUUGGGGCAUUUUCUUUUGUUUCUUUCUUGCGAAUCAUCUGCUACAACAAGUCAAUAGAAUAAUCACUAUCCUACAUGGCAUCACUCUUGGAAGACUUAUUUUUUUGGAUCGUUGCAUCUCCUAGAUGUGAAUGGUUAGAAUCAGGCGACCCAUGAACAUUGUCCCUUGCAUCCAUCAAAUUGCUUAUUGAACAAGUGAUGCGUCUUGAAGGAGUUUCCAGAUUUUCAUUCUUGGUAUCCAAUAACUCUAUUGACAGUGCAGUAUAGAACUACUGGUUGUUCUUGUUGAAUCCUAUAGUUGAAAUGCAUUUUGGAGUUUCCAUCUAAUAGGUCAGAAGCUUGAUGCCUGUGUGUAAUCUCUCAAACAGGAUUUUAAUACAUUGUUUAAUGCAGAGAUUGCAAAUAAUGAAGUUUUAUAGAGAUUGGAAUCAGAGAUUGCAAAUAAUGAAGUUUUAUAGAGAUUGGAAUCAUACUCUCUCCAUCCAUAUCUUCAAUAGAUUUACAUGGAUCGUGAGGUUGAUGGAAAAUGAAAAGAAUCAGUGUGUGUGUGUGUGUGUAUCAGAAACGAAGAUUUUUUAGAUGAAAAAUAUGGUGAGAUCACAGGUUGAGAUAUGAUUUGUAGAGUUCUUGGAAUGUAUUGAAGAUCUUUUUGUUUUGAUUUACCAAUAUCUUAGUUCAAUGGUUUACUGGUAAAGGCUGGAGAUUUGGGAAAUAGGACGUGAAUUGGAGAUGGUUUAUGAGGCGUGUCUGGUGGCAUGAUUUCAGCUUUUAGUAUAUUAAAUAUGGGAUUGAGGAUAUUUUCCAUUUUUCAUUUAUACUACAUAUAUUGUAGCAUAUUUGGAGAUAAAAGUUUGGAAAGGUAAAGAAUGAAUUUUUAAUAAAUUUGAAGUAUGAGGUGCCAUUUCCUCUAGAAUAAAUUUGUUGAUUCAAUUUUAUACAGUUUAAUUCUUGAACAUUCAUUCUAUACCUAUGUGUACUUAAAUUUUUUUGCAUGUGUUAGUUAUUUAUAUUUAGAAUAAUAAAUGCAAUUUUAUGAUGAAACCAAAUUAUGAAAAGUUACAAUUAUACUCAUAUUUAGUUUGCACGAGUGUUUAAAGUUCUUAGUGUUUUUUUUUUCCUUCUAAAAACGUAAAAACUGAGCCAAAAAUUACAUAGAUUAAGUAGAAUUCAAAUCGAGAUCAAGGUCCAUUCCAAAAGGGAACCAUAGAAAUGACUUAAUCCAAAAGUGUCUUACACCUCUUAAUUACGAAAUAAAUAACAGAUUAUCUUCAAAAUGGUGGUCGUAAUUUGUGGGACUAGUACAUUUGAAUUCAGAUUUUACAAAAACAAUAGAACGUUCAAUUUGUACUCCUACAUAUAGACAUUUGGCAUUCACGAACAACAAGGAAUAAUUUUCUAAUUCUUGAAAAUUAUUAUAAUAAAUUUUUAUAUACCUCAUUACAAAAAAGAAAUUAGAGUAUUUUGUUCACUUAUCUGAGUCGUUAAAUGAGACAAAUUAUAAUUAAUUUAGAAGACUUAUGGCUUAAUAGAUGGUAAUAUGGUUUGUAGGGAAAACUCAAGGCAAAUUAGUGGAAUUGAAAGAAAUGAAUGAAAAGGGGCAAAACCAAUCCAAAGUUCGAGACCAAAACGUAAACAUCUAAUAGUUUAUUCGAAUCAUAAAAUGAUGAUUGAAAAUAACAUAUGAGCAAUUGGAUGAAAUUGGAGUUCAAAGGAUUGAAAUAUAAGUAUUUUCGCAAUUCAAUUUUCAACCAAAAAAUUAUGUUUCGGAUUUUCAGUCUCAGAUUGAGAAGCAUUUUUUAGGUAGCAAUCAUUUUGAUAUCGGCUGAAAAGUUAUUAUCAAAAUAUCGAAUGCUACUCAAGAACGAACUUAUGUGAAAUAGAACGGGCACUCACAACCUUAUAUAUAAUUUACAGUGAACAAAACUAGUCCACGAAACGUGCUCAGUGAACCUUAUGGCACAUCGCCCGACCCAAAUAGAGAAUAGGGUAAAACACACUCUCUUAUAUCUUCAUACACAAUACUAUCAUCAAGAACAAGAGGUCAAUUCGUCACUUUUGAGGUAUAAGAUCAAACUCUAGCAAGGAAUUGAAGGCCAAUCCGAUCUACAAAUUAAAGAUUUCAACCUUGGACUUGAAGAUCAAUUCCUUGGAGAUUAUUUCAUGAUUUGGGUGAUAUUUUUCCAUAAUUUCAUUUGUAAUUUACAUAUUAAUAUGCUAGUCUAGAUCUGCUUUUGUAUUGGGUGAAGUGAAUCCUAUUGUUAUUUAUUUUAAUUCAUGACUAGUCGUUUUGUUUUUCUUGAUUAAUUUUGCAUAUUUAAGCAUUAUUUAAUUGCUUUAUCACUAAUUAGAUAAUUUAGAUGUUUUGUAGAGUUGAAAGACUCAUAAUAAGUUUAGAAUGCAACAAAAUUAACAUAUGACUAAUAAAUAUUAGGAAUAAUAAUUAUCAUGUGUGUAAUAAUAUUGAUAAUAUGAAAUUUAGUGUGUUCUAAUUAUUCAUAUUUGGGCUAGGAAUACACUCGGAUUAUGAUUAGAAUGAAGUUAAUUUAUCUUUAAAACGAAAGUUAAAUGCAUUAGCAUUAUCGACUGUUAAGGAUAUAUGAAUAUGAUUAAACUAAUUAAUUGAGAAAUGAAAUAGAUAUUACUAGGUGGAUUCGAAUUUCAAUACAAUCAUCCAUAAAUUGAUAACAAUCACACUUUUACAGCUUUCUUAGAUUAAUUUAGCAUAAACUGAAUCAGACUGUAUUGUGUGUGACAUAUUUCGAAUGCCAUGUAUAACUAGUAAACCUGAAUUGAAUUUAUUUUAUGUGGGUCGAUAACUCUUAACUCAUCAAAUCUAUUUCUUGUCAAUGAUCAUGUACGCUUGCGAGAUUAUCGAACAAGUUUUUGGUUUCAUUGCCAAGGAAUAAAAUAUUUAAUCUGAGUUUAUUAGUCUAUAUAAUAUUCAUUUUUUUCUUUUAUUUUGUUUUAGGCUAUUAAUUAGAUAUCUAAUCUCUCUUACUUAUUUAUUUAUUUUUUUCUUUUUUACAAUUUAAGCAAGAUUCUAAAUAAAUGAGCUCAUAUAAGUGGAUCUCGAGAUUGAAAGAACUUUCGGACAAUGACAACAAAGAAAUGCGAGAAAAUUGUAGAAAAUCAAGAUCAAAAUCAAAACCAAAUUGAAUUACCAGCUGAAAAUCAAGAUCAAAUUCAAUUAGCACCAAAUUCGCCGGUAUAGCCAUUUCUUCCGAGAGCAUUGGCUAAUGAUACUGAAGUUUUAGUAUGGGAUUAUGUGAAUCCUAUCCCAGCUCUUAUACAACUGGCUAUUAUAUAUCAACUUUUUGGGCAAGCCAGCUUCUACAUUUGACUAGAUGUCAUCAACUUAUUUCAAAAUCAUUAGGACAUCAAGUUCUUUGGAAGAUCAACUAAAAAUUCUCAUGAACAUAUUUAAGCGUUCUUGAUGCUCUGCAAUAUGAUUAGUCACGAAUGCAUUUUUGUUGACGCUCUUCGAUUGUGCCUACUCCUUCAAACUUUAAAGGAAGGUGUACAAGAAUGGCUAAAUUCAUUAAUUCUUGGGAGUAUCAUUUUAUGGAACUACAUAAUGCAAAAAUUUACUUUGAAAUUCUUCCCGCCUUCUAGAGUUCAUCAAAUCGGAAAUGGAGUGUAUACUUUCAAGCAAAGAGAUAUUGAGAACUACCUAAAAGCAUCGAAAAGAAUUCAAAGAUUACUUUAGAAAGUGUCCUAAUCUAAGCAUUCCUAAAUACUCUAAGAUCUGUAUAUUCUAUUGAGGCACGAGAUAUAAAUUUUACAACACAGUUAAUUUUUCAGCAUGAGGGUCAAUCUUGGGUAUUUUCUUAGACAAUGCCUUGGUCCUCUUUUAGAGAAUCGUAGAAAAUCAGUCUAUGUGACCACCUAAAAGGAAAACUCUGAGAAAAAUAUUGAAGAUUGACAUUAUCAAUAUAGUGAUUGCAAAUGUAACGCCCCGAGCUCUAGGGACUCGUGACAUUACAAAACCUUAAAUUUGUAAACUUCUAUAUAAAUAGUUCAUAUAAUGUAGAAAUUUAAAUUGUAUUGAAAACAAUAAGGCUAUAGAGAACCUGUUACAAAAUUUAAGAAAUUUUCUUUUGGAAAGUUUAGAUUUUUGGCUUGUACGACUUUCUGAAAUAAAUCUCGUUCAAUGACUAAAUUAAAUCUAAAAUUUACAAAAUUUUAACUGUAGAUACACAGGAGAAUUACAUGUUAAAAUUUUUGUAUACAAAUUCAAUCGAUAGAUUGGUCAAAUUUUUUUCAAAACCGGAUCCAUUUGUUCUCGGGUUAACAAUCAUAACUUGAGUUUUACAGAUCAAAAUUCAUGAUUCUAAGUCCAAGAGAUAGAUAACUCAUAUGGCUAUCUUCUUGGAAUCACCUCAAAAUUCCAAGUAUUUAGGUUCGGGUGAAUUUUUAAACUUAGGCCAGAAACUGAAAAUAUUUAAAUCCUAGUGUAGUAACUCAAAUGAAUUAAAUAAACCACCAUAAAAAUAUUAUAUCAACCAUGAAACAAUUUCAUAAUCAAUUCAAUCUUCAAGCUCAAGAAAUACUAAUUUGAAUUAUUCCAAAUUUAAAUAAUUAUUCAAACGAAACAUGAAUCAAAUGAUGUCUUUUUGAGUUCACACAAGGCACCACCACUAUCCUACACGCUUCUAUUGAUCGCCUUAAUCUGCAAUUGUUAGGGGGUUAUGUGUUUCUUAGAAGCACUCAAUAGACUCAUACACAUGUAAAUAUAAACAUAUCAUACUUUAAGCACAUAUUCAUAUCAUUCAAACUUUAAUAAGUAGCACAUCAAUGAUCAGAUGACAUACCAACAUCUGGUGCACUACUACGCCAGCAAGUUCAUAUGUCUGAUCCACUACUAUGCUACCAGCUCAUAUUUAAACCCCAUAAGGACCCACAUAAACAUAUAAUCAUCUUUAUACAUGCUGAAAUAUAACAUGAAGUGGAACUUUUGAAACAAUAUCAAGGUUUGAGCACUGUGCCCUUUUACUUGGAUUUUAAUUUGUUGACCACUUGAUCUAUGUGUAUAAAUCUUUUUUGCUAUGUUAUCAAAGGAAAAGAGGUGGGAUAAUUAAAUAAUAUGAAGGUAGAACACGAGACUAGUUGUUGUGAUUGUAAAAAUCUUUUGCAUGAAUCCUUGUGGCAUUGGACUUCUAAGAAUUUAACGUUUUAUCCUUAAUAGAGAUUAAAAUAUCAAUAAAUAACUAUUAAUUUAAUUUCUUCAAUAACAAUUUUUUUAGGAUUAGGAUAAUUUAAAACUAACUCAGAUGAUUAUUGAUAAUCCAUAUAUAUCAGCGUGCACUGACCAAAAAUUCCAAAAUAAAGGAAUAGAAUUCUACCAAAAUUCAAUAAUCCUAGUUUCACUUUUAUUUGCUCUAACUUGGUUGUCCUUAUACAAAUUAAAUUCUUCUCAAGCCUAAUAUAAAUUAUUAAUUACGACCUAUCAAAUGAGUCCAAUAUUGCUGUAGAAAUUUUCACAACAUCAAUAAUUUAAUAAUCAAUCUCGCUAUAUUGAGCAUUAGCUAGAAAAUAAAAAUCUUAACUAAAUCAUGACUUAUGUGAAUACUAACUCCAUCAAAAUUAAUUGAGAAAAACCUAACUUAAACUUACUAUAAUUUAUCCCACAAUAUUUUCAAGGCAACAAGUAACUAACAAGGACUAGAAAAAGUUAGUGUGUUAAAUGCAGAGCCAGUUAAAGCAUAUAAAUUGGGAACAACAUGCAGUGACCCGAAUUUCUUUCUUAUAAGAAUUUUGAGAAAACUAUCAUUUAAAUAUAAAAAUUUUCGGUCACUACAGCAAAGGCAGCCCUACUAGAAAUAUUAACAAAGAAGUUGGACAAACUAACCCAAAAAGUGAGUAUAGUAUACCAACGCUAAUCUGUGGGGGCUGUAGGACAGAUCAUAGAUUUUGAAAAGUGUUAAUUAAUCUUGAGGUUAGAAGAAAAACAAUAAAUCUUUACACCGAAUGUUCUACUCAAGCAACCACAUGUUAUUGAAUAGUGCAAAAGGAUGGACCUUUGGGGAAGCAAUAAUAACAAGGAAGAAGGCAGAAUUGUAGGAAUGGACAAUAAUGGAAUUAUUGUAAUCCAGGCUUAAAGAUGACUUAAAAACUCUCUUCUCAAGCUACCAUAUUUACCAAAAACCAAAGUCAUGCUAAAGACUUAAACAAGCACUUAUUGGGAGGCAACAUAAUUUUCUUUCCUUUUGUUUAUUUUGCUUUCUAGACUGUAGGAUUCGUAGACUUUAUUCUUUUUUCUAGUAUAGGGUAUUUCAUUCCCAUAUUUUCCUUUAGGGUGGGAAUAAGCUUACUAUAAAUUUUUCCAUGUUAUGAUUGAUUUUUACUAUUUUGAAGGAGCGUGACAUGUGAACAUAUUGGACAAAAAAAUACAUAGCAAGUAAUCCAACACUUUCAUGCCAGUCCAUCCACUACUUGCAGAUUUGAACCAGGAUAAUAUUUAGCUCUAUUCUUUACACUUAAUUUUUAUAUAUGGUUUAUUAUAUCUUUAGACUUCGAGGAAAAUGCCUUUCAUAAGUUUGGGGGUGGAAAAAGAUCGAGUUUUAUCUAUUCUACAAUUUUGUUUGCUUAUUCGUGAAAAAAUAUAUAUAUUUUUUUUAUUUUCCGCCUUAUUUUUUCUUUUAUGUGAUUGUAUGGGUUAGAUGAUUUUGUUUACUAUGAUGGAUAUAUUUGGAACUAAGUGUUAUAUGAUAAAUUAUAGAAAAGUUGCAUGUUUCGUCAAUUUUUGCUUAUUCAUGUGAAACUUUAUAAUUUUGAGCCUAAGAUUUAUGUUUUGCAUCAUGAAGAUUAGUCUGAUUCAAAAUUUGAGUCGAUUGAAAUUAGUGGACCAUAGAUGCUAAAUCUAAAUAGCCACUAAAUUAUACAUCUUUAAACCAAUUCUAGAAUAGUUUGUAAAUUUUGAUUUGUUGUAAGGAGACAUUAAGAUAAAUGUGAAUUUCAUGAGUGCUAAAUUUUGUGCAAAUUGUCUAAUGCCAAUAAAAUGAAAAUUAGAUACUAGGUCUCAAUUUUUUGGAAUAAAUGCUAAAUGCAUUGCACUAAUUGUAUGAAAAAAGAAUAGUAAAUUUCUUAUUGUGAAAUGUUUCUUCAUAGCCUUUAUGACUCGAGUUAUUAGGUUUGCAAGUGUAUCUAAAACUUGGUGUCCUAUAGUCAUUUGACUUGGAAGCCAUCGGUCAAAUGCCCAUUACGUGAGUUAUUUAGAAAUUUUAAUAGAGGGAAGUCCACACAUAAGAUGUGAAAAAGUAAAGAGUGUCCUUUGACAAGGAAUUAUUAUCUUAGUUGAUUUAUUUGAAGUUGAAGCAGUAAAAAAUAAAGAGUGUCCUCAUUUGUUGAAGUGUUGAGCAACAAUUAGUUAGAUCUAAUCAUAUUAGAGAGGGGUGAGUGCUAGUAUAAAAAAAUUCUACCUUAAUCAAACAUUGUGAAUAGAAUAAAAAAAGAAUAAGUAUGGGGUGUGAAUCUUAAGAGAGAAGAAAUGAAAUAUUUGACAAUUAAGGGUUGGAACUUGAAUCACUUUAUGAAUUUAUGAUGCUUGAUAUAAAUUUUCAUUCACGAACACACAUCACUUUUACAUUGAAUACGUAGAAAUAAAUUUUAAUGAUGUGAUGUUGAAGCAGCUUAUAGUUUUGAUGUAUGAAUUCCAAUCCUUAGACCAAAUACAAAUUAUCUAACCAUGUAUAUUAAGAAAAAGUUAUUUAACUCAAAAUUUAUUUUGUUUGAGAACAAACAAACGUUCUAGUUUGGGGUGUUCAACAAGUGUAUUUUGUACACUUAUUUUGGAUAUUAAAUGAGAUAAAUUGUAAUUAAUUUUGAUGACUUAUGGAUUAAUUAGAUAUUAAUUUUGUUUGCUAGGUAAAACUUGAGGCAAAUUGGUGGAAUUAAAAAAAAAUUGAACCAAAAAUGGGCAAAGCGAUAGAAAUCUGAAGUUUUGGGACCAAAAUGUAAACAUAUAAUACUCAAUUCGGACCAUAAAAUGAUUAUUAAAGAUCACAUAUGAUCAAUUGGAUGUAACUAGAAGUCAAAAGUGUGAAAUAGAGUCAAAUAUUUUCACAAUUCAAUUUUCAGCCAAAAAAGUUAUGCUUUAGUUUUUCAACCUUAGAUUGAGACCCAUUUUCAAGUAGCAAAAGUUCGAACUGAAAUACUUUUUGACUUCCAAAAGAAUUGUAGUUCUUUGAGUUAUCUUUCAAAUGUAUUUUGAAUCUCAAUUCGAGAACGGGUGGAAAAGUUAUGAUCAAAAUACCAAAAGCUGCAUAAGGACGAAUAGAUGUGAACCAAUGCGCACAGGUUAUUCUGGCAUGCACGCACAACUUUAUGUAUUAUUUACCAAGAACAAAACUACUCCACCAUGCAUGCUCAAUGAAUUUUAUGGCACUCAAGCCAAAUUCUCUACUGAUGGCCCAAUUUCCUUUUUUGAUUCAAACUCUUGUCGGUAACAACUUCGGGACAAUUUCUUAACUCAAAGUCAAUCCUUAUAAAUAGAUAACAGGGAAAAUAGAAAAGAAAACUCUCUAUUGUGUCUUUAUGUAGAAUAAAUCAUCGAAAACCCUAGCAAGGAAUUCAAGACCAAUUAUAUCUACAAAUUGAAGAUUUAAACCUUGAACUUGAAGAUCAAUUGCUUGGGGAUUAUUUCAUGAUUCGGGUGAUAUUUUUCCAUAAUUCCUGUUGUAAUUUAUAUACUAAUAUGUUAGGCUAGAUCCACUUUUGUAUUGGAUGAAGUAAACCCUAUAUAGUUCCAAUACUUUCAAAAAUACUCUCUUCUGCCUUGAAAUGUGAGUCAUAAAUUUCAUUGGACGUUUAUGAAGAAAGCAUUUCUUUCCAUAUCGACACUCAAGCCCAUUGUAAAAAACAAAUUGAAAAUUUUUAUCCUAUGUAUCAUUCUUUGGUUAUCGCUAAAAUUCCUGAUGCCUCUCUUCCUUCCUCGAACAAGUUCUUGCCAAUUUGGAGGGGAUUCCAUAAAUCUUCAACACUAUGAGCACAUGUGCAAUGCUCUCCAUUCUUGCAGGUACCUUUGGUGAAUAAUGCAUGAAAAGCUCUGAUACCAUUUGAAAAGCUUCAAUUACCAAUUGAGUUUGACCUUAUGUGCGGAAUUAUACAAUAAAAAGCAAUAAGUCACUUUAAUUGUUUUUAAAUGCUAUAUCAGAUAGUUCAAUUUAUCCUACAAUUUGAAUGCCACAAACAAUAAAUCUAAAAGCAAUAAAGAACACCAAUAUUGUUGACGGAGAAACCCAAUUAGGUACAAACUCCAAGACCAAAGCAGUAACCUCUACUCUAGACAAUGUCAACUUACAUUAGGAUCAAGCCUAGCAAAUUCUACUAGAUUUGUUAAUCUAAUUCCAACAAUCUCCAAGACCUAAUGAAACGUGUUUAACUCAUACUUGCUUCUGAUCUUCUAGAAUUUUCUAUCUCCUAUAGAUCAUCGAGAACAGCCAGUUUUUGUACUCUUCCUAUGCUUGUAGUCCAACCUUCCCUUAAUCUUUAGCAAUCUCUAAAAGCUAUUGAGAAAGUACCUUCCUUGAUGUGUUACGGAAGUAGGUGUUUUGGAUUAUGAAAUUUUGAUAUUUUCCCAACAAGUGGCUAUAUGAUCUCAAGAAUCAAAGGAUAGAAAUCAGUGUAUGGAUGGAUCUUCAAAUAAUUAAAUGGAGAAGUAUUAUAAUGAACAACUACCCAUAAUUUCGUAUAAUGCAUUAGGUAUUUAUAGUGGAAGACAAUUAGGUAGUAUGGUUCGUGUAAAACUCUUGAAAAAAGUGAAAUAGGAUUUUCCAUGUAACAUUGUCACUCGAGCGAUAGGGUAGUGAGAGGCAAGCAACAGGUCUUCGUUCAAGGGUGAGCCGAGUAACAAGUGAGUGAGAGUGGUUCCCUUUUUUUUUCUUUUUUUUUUUUUUUUUUUUUUUUUUUUUUGCUUGAGCAAUCGUUAGGUGAUAGACUAGCAAAAACCCAACGACUUUUCUUUCCUUAUUCCAACCUCAAAGCCUAGGUAACCUACUUCAACUGUACAAUAUUUUUACGAACUCCUUGACUUUUACAACUCUUUAACUUAAAUCCUUUUUGUUUAAAGAUGACAUUAUAUGACAAAACUAUACAAUACAAGUCAAAAAAGUAAAAACAAAACUAUUCUUCUCAAGCUCAAACUGAAUGUAUGUUUUCUGCAUUCCUUGUUAAACUUGUUUCCUUAGAUCAACGGCUCAAAUACCAAAUGUCAAAGCACAUGAUAUAGAAAAUAUAACAAUUGAAACACACAAUCAUAAAUAUGCUAGCUUGAUUGAGAUGUAAUAUUAACGUUAAUCAAAAUACCAACUAAAACAUUAAUACCACAAAACACAAAAACUCAAACAGCUAUGCUUUAUGAUAUGGAAUGUAAUAAACAUAAUCAAUCUCCCCAUUACCGCAAACUCUCAUCUAAUAAUUCAUAUCUCUCCCCCUAAAAUACGUAUUUCUUUCCUCCUAAAAUGCAGCUCGCCUUCCCCCUUUUAUCACAGAUGGGGAAGGGAACAAUACCAAAAAUAAUUUGAUCAUCAAUAUACAAUAAUUUAAAGAUACCAUUGAUAGCAUGCACAAGGAUGAUGAAUAAUUAGUAAACUUUUCCACAUACUAAGUUCAUGCUAAUAUGGAGUAAAUAGUAUAAGUGACUUAUGUGUGUAAAGUCUCACAAUCCUUCAUAAGCAAGACUCCGAAGAAGAGCAUAAGACAUUGAGCCUUUUUUUUCAAGGGAAUAUAUUUGAGCUUUGGUCUACUAAAAUAAGGUCAAUUCAUGCUCAAAGUCAUCUUACCAACAUGUGACUGUCAUUCUAAAUCUCACACAUGCAAUUAAGUUUGACUAACAAUAUCAUAGAGUGUACAGUGCAAAUGGUACGUAAAGAAACCUAUACUAAGAACUCCAUAAAAACCUAAACAAAGUAAUGAAAAAUAUACUACAACACAUUAAUUAAACUCAUACUUUGUCAUUAUAUGCAUCUUCAAGUUCAUCAUAUAUAUAAUGCUAUAGUUAAAAUAAAUUUCCCUUUCCUUUUUUUAUUUUAAAACAUGAAUGAACUAAUCACACAUGAUAAGAAAAUCUAACACAUAAACCAAAAAAAAAUAUAUGUAUAUGCAUGUGCCAAUGCAAAUUUGAUGAAUAUGCACAUGCAUGAAACUACCACCUAGAAAGCGAACAAAAAUAAAUAAGAUGCAUGCAAUCAUGAAUGGAUAAUAAUGAAUAAUACAAGCAUGUACUAGAAAUACCUAAUCAGUUCGGUACAUAAGUGUUCAUACCCUUAAGAGCACCAUGAUCUAUUUCAAGAUUUUUUAUAUCACUCAUCUUUAUCCAAACUUGUCUAGUGAGAGGAAUAUUCCUAGUCAUCUGUGUUAUUAACUUAGUAGGCUGACUCACCUGAUUAGUAAGAAAGUCAAUCUGACUAACAAAAUCCUGAUUUUUAUAUUUAUUAAAAUUCUUGUUUCUAUUUCUGUUCAUAGGUUUAUGACACCUAGGCCUUACAUGUUCUAACUCACCACAAUGAUAACACGUAGGGAUAAACCUAGGACCAAAGUUAUGAGAUCACUAAUAUAUAUCCCUAGGUUGACAAGUCGUAUACUAUAUAGUACGCCUCUAUCCUACGAAUCACUUUUUCUUGGGUUUAGGAUUAGGAACAUAAUUAGGCUUGUUAGUGUUAGGGAUGAAGACGUUCUUGGAAGUACUAGCAGCAUGUGAUCAUUACCAAUAGGCUUGUUCAUUCCUAAGUUGUUAUCAAGUUUCAAUAAACCACUAGAGAAGGCGAGAAAUUGAGACUUGGAAUAUUCAUGUUCGUUCAGAAGUUUCUUAACCUGGAUUUCUGAUUUUUCAUUCUCAAUGACCAGCUCACUAACUUUCUAAAGAUUCAUUUAUAGAUUUCAACUUAUUCAGUGAUGAUGUAGUUUCUGAAAGUUAGCUAUAAGUUUCUUCUUUCCAGCUCAAGUUCUUUAACUUUCGUACCUAGGGCAUUAUUCGUAGUUAGAAUCCUACAACUCUCCUUUCAUAUUUUUUUCGUAAGCCUCAUGAAUAUCUUCCUUACAGUCAGAAUCUUUCUCUGAUUUCUCGCCACUAUCUACGUCCUCAGCCUUCUUACUCACCUUAUCAGAUCCAAUCCUAAUCCUGGUAGUAAAGGCAAUGUGUUUUCUAUUCUCGUCAUGGGUGCAUCUCUCACUAUGAUUAUCCGAGCUAGACUCGACAUCAGUGAAAAAAGCAUUCAUAGCUUUAAUUUGAUUUCUCUUACUAUUAGGACAUUCACUCCUAUAAUGGUGAAAGCCUAGACACUUAUGACAUCUUACUAAUUGAGAUCUCUUUCUAGACACAUUGGAGGCAUCUCUAUGUCUCUCUUGAGUCUUCUUUUUAUUUCUAAAUAUUUUUUGAAUUUCUGAGCAAAAUAAGCUAAACUCCUCCUUAUUCUGUGACUCUAAAUCAGAAGACUCAAUAUAGUUAUUCCUCACAAUGUUCAAGGCAACGGACUUAUCUUUUGUAGGUUUAGCUAGUAUCAGUUCAUAAGUCUUAAGAGAUCCAACCAACUCUUCUACCUCAAUAAACUCUAUGUCCUAACCCUCUUCUAUUCUCAUGAUUUUACGCCUAAAUUGCCCAGGUAAGGAUCUAAGGAUUUUUCUAAUAAUCUUAGGCUCAAGGGUUCUCCCACCUAGGUUGAAACUGGAAUUAACUAAAUCAUUUAGGCUCGUAUAGAAAUUAUCAAAUGUCUCAUCCAUUUUCAUACUAAUCUCUUCAAACCUAGUGGUCAGCAUCUACAACUUAGAACUCUUAACAGCAUGAGUUCCCUCAUUUACGGUCUAUAAAAUAUCUCGAACUUCUUUAGCUACCUCACCCACCAACAUAUGUCUAAACUCUUCAGGGGACACUGCCAUAGAUAUAGCAUGUAAGGCUUUACUAUUCCAAUUGCAUUCAUCUAAGUUUGGUUUAGUCCAAUUAGCCAUGGAGUGGGGAUCACUACAUUAUCAACCAUUACACUAAGGACAGCCCAACCACUAUUCAUGCUCAACUAGAUGUGCUUAUCUAUAGAUUUUAAGAAUUCCAUCAUUCUAACCCUCCAAUAAGCAUAAUUGCUACCAUCAAGAUGUAGUGGAACAGAUAAUGAACUAUUCGUCUAGACAAUUAAGGUUAGGACACAAACUUAGGCUCUAAUACCACUUGAAAAGCUUUGAAACCACUUGAAAAGAUCUGAUUAUCAAUUAUGUUUGGCCUUACAUAUGAAAUUACAUAAUUAAAAGUAACAUGUUACUUUUUAAUUCUUUGUAUAUGGUUAGUCAAACAGUUCAAUUUAUUCUUUGAUUUAAAUGCCAUAAACAAUAAAUCUAAAAGCAAUAAAGAACACCAAUAUUGUUGAGGGAGAAACCCAGCUAGGUAAUAUCUUUGGGACCAAACCAGUAACCUUCACUACAGAAAAUGUGAACUUAUAGUAGAUCCACCCUAACAAAUUCCACUAGACUCACUGAUCUAAUUCCUCCAAUUUCUAAGACCAUCUGGAUUGUACUUCACUCACACUUGCUCCGCGAUCAUCUAAAAUUGUCUAUCUUACGUGGCUUACCAAGAACAAUCAGUUCUUGUAUUUUUCCUAUGCUUGUAGUCCAACCUUCCUCAAUCUUCAGCAAUAUCUAAAAGCUAUUGAGAAAGUACCUUCCUUAAUGUGUUAUGAAAGUGGGUGUUUUGGAUUAUGAACUUUGAUGUUUUUCCCAACAAGUGGUUGUAUAGUUUCAAGAAUCAAAGGAUAGAAAUCAAUGUAUGGAUGUGUUUUUGGAUCUUCAAAUAAUGAUAUGGAGAAGUAUUAUAAUGAACAACCACCCACAAUUUCAUGUAAUGCAUUGGGUAUUUAUAGUGGAAGACAAUUCGAUAAUAUGGGCCGUGUAAAACUCUUGAAAAAUAUGAAGUAGGAUUUUUCAAGUAGCAUUGUUGCUCAAACAAUAGGGUAGCAAGAGGCGAGUGAAAGGUCUUUUCUCGAGCGAGAGUCAGGCUACAGAUGUGUAACGAUGAUUCUAUUUUUUCUGCGAGGAAUGGAUAGGCGAUAGACUAGCGAAAAUUUGAUGACUCUUCUUUACUUAUUUCAAACUCGAACCCUAGGUUACCUACUUCAACUAUAGAAUAUUUCUACCAACUCCUUAGCUUUUACAACUCUUUAAUUUAAGUCCUUUUGUCUAAAGAAUUAUCAAUAUAUAAAAUCCUAACAAUGCACAAAUACGAUUCUUGUAAAAUAUAUGGUUCAUCCCUUUAGUCUCUGCGGAUUUUCUUGUAUCAUUGUGGGAUAUCAUUUGUGCAAAUGGUGUAGAAUUGGAUUGGUUGUUUUCAAAAUUCUUUGGUCUCUUGAAGAUACGGGUGCUCAAAUUGAGACACUACAUCAUUCAUAGGAGGCGUAAGCCAAAAUCUAUCGACAUCUCUACCAGAGAAAGGUAGAGAAAGAAAUGGAUGAAGUGGUGGUUGUUGUGCACGAUCAAAAAAAACUCAUCGUGUUUUGGUAUUGAAAGGAAUUUUCUGAUCCUUCGCACCAAGAACUAUACUAACAUUAAAUUCAUUGUAAAAAAGAAAACCUGAUACCAACCAAAAAAGAUCAUAAGAAAUAAAAAAGCAAAAUGACAACCAUUGAAAUUGGAAGUGAUCUCAAUACAAGUGAUCAUAUAUUGUUGAUAGUAAUAAACAACAGCCACAUAAAAAAAUGAGACCAAAAAAACACAGAGAAAUAAAGCACCAAAAAAUCGAGAAUUGGAAAUUUUGAAUAGAAAGAUACGCCACUUCUAAACUACAAAAUCAAUAAUAAUGUACUGGUGUUAAGUCAUGAGCUAAGGGAUUCAAAUUCCCUCUAAAUAUAUAUCUAAAUGAUAGGAAACUCAUAUUUUAUAUAGACCAGUUUUUAUUUUUUCUUUUUUAUUAGAAUUAUGCCCUAUAGUCUCUUGAUCUUACUUAAUUCUUAAAUAUCAGCUAGAUCUUUCUAUCAGAAUCAACCAAGCUCAGAAAUUUGGAAAGAUGCCUAAAGACUCCGUAGCUUUUAUGUUCCCUUUUUUUAUUUCCAAAGUGUAAUUUUGUAGUAAACUUCAAUUAAAUUUAUUCACAGUGGGAAGAUAACUCUUAAGAUUUCAAAUCUGUUACUUGUCAAUGAUCCCUUACACAUGUUGAAUUUUACUGAACAAGUUUUUAACAGCAUUGUUGAGGAAUAAAAUAUUUAAUUUGAAGUUUGUUAGUUUAUAUAGUAUUUGAUUUUUUUUUAAAUUUUGUUUUAGGCAAUUAAUUAUACAUCUAACAUCUCUUGUUUAUUUUUUUGAUAGUUUCUGCAAAAUUCUGAAGAGAUGAAGCUCAUCUAAUUGGAUCUCGAGAUUGAAGGAACCUUUAGACAAUGAAGAAGAGUAAAGAGAGAAGUGAGAAAAAUGACAGAAAAUCAAGAUCAAAAUCAAAACCGAAUUCAAUUACCACCAAAUUCGCCAGUACAGCCAUUUUCACCAAGAGCAAUGGCCAAUGAUAGCAAAGUUUUAGUAAGGGAUUAUGUGAAUUCCAUCCCAACUCCUAUGCAGUUGGCUAUUAUACAUCCACUUUUUGGGCAGGCUAACUUCUACAUUCGACUAGAUGCCAUCAACAUGUUUUAAAAUCAUCAAGACAUUAGGUUCUAUGGAAGAUCAACUAAAAGUUCUCAUGAACUUAUUCAGGCCUUCUCAACGCUUUGAGAUAUGAUUAGUGAAGAAGACAUGUUUGUUGAUGCUUUUUGAUUACGCCUAAUCUUGCGAGUAUCGUUUUAUGAAAUGACAUGAUGCAAAAAUUCACUUUGAAAUUCUUCCUGCCUUCUAGAAUCCAUCAGAUCAGAAAUGAAGUUCAUACUUUCUAGCAAAGAGGCUUGAGAAUUGCCUAGAAGAAUGGAAAAUAUUUAAAGAUUACUUCAAAAAGUGUCCUAAUCUGAGCAUUCCUAAAGACUUUAAGAUCUGAAUAUUUUAUUCAGGCAUGAGACUGAAUUAUGCAACAUAGCUAAUGCAUUAGCAGGAGGGGGUCAAUCUUAGAUAUGUCCUGGGACAAUGACUUAGUCCUUUUUUUAGAGAAUUGCAGAAAAUCAGUUUAUGUGGCCACCCAAAAGGAAAACUCUAAGAAAAUAGUGGAGAUUCACAAUAUUGAUGUAGUGACAAUAAUGGAAGCCAAGCUAGAAAUACUAAUAUAGAAAUUGGACAAACUAACUCAAAAUGUGAGCGUAGUAUACCAACCAGCACCAAUCUUUUGGGACUGUAGGGUAGAUCAUAUAACUAUAAGCUGUCCUUUAGUUAUCAGCCAGAUGAGGUCAUUUAUGUAUUGAACAUUCUGAGAUAACAGAACAAUUUUUAACCCAACGCAUAUAAUUCAGGUUGGAGCUAACAUUUGAACUUCUCAUGGCCUCAUAAUUAGGAAUAUCAGAUUCAGGACAACCCACAAGGAUUUAAGCCACAUUAGAAGAAAAAUCCACUGUUGGAAGAUUUAUUGAUGUGCUACAUCACUAAGAGUAAGACUGCACUCCAAAAUCAGUAGGUUGCGAUAACAAAUCUGGAGACUCGAAUGGGGUAGCUAGCAGCUAUAUCAUCCAAUAGAGGAACAAGUUAAGGCCAUCACAACAAGAAGUGGAGUUUAGUUUCUAGAAAUUACUGUGAAGAAGAAAGGAAUCAAGAAGAAGCCAGACAAUCAUAGGUUAAAGUAACCAUUCCUAUCAAUAAACACACACCUUCAGACCUAUUCUCUCAAAGGUUGGAGAAUAAUAACUUGAAGAAACAAUUUAAGAAGUUCUUGGAUGCCUUAGACAACCUCACAUCAACAUACCUUUCAUCGAUGCCAUUCUACAAAUUUCAAAUCACACGAAGUUUUGGAAAAAAAUGUUGACUAAAAAGAAAAAGUUGCUAGUGGAUGAAAAAGUAGCUUUGAUAGAAGAAUUAUGUACAAUCAUACAACAUAAGGUCCCUCCAAAACUAAAAAAUCCAGGGCAUUUCAUAGUAUCCUCUUUAGGAAAUUUACAUUAUCUAAAUGCUUUAAUUGAUUCUAAAGCAAAUAUUAAUCUGAAGCCACGGUUUAGCUAUAGAAAAUUCAAAAUUAGGAUUGGAUGAUCCAAAAAAAGCAUCAAUAAUCCUAUAGUUGCGACAUGACACUCAAGUAUCCUUAUGGAGUGGUAAAUGAUAUGCACAUCGAAGUUGGAGAUAACUUAUUUCUAGUUGAUUUCAUUAUCCUUGAUAUGGAUGCUCAAUACAUGCCGUUAAUAUCAGGAAGACCAUUUUUAGCAACUAAACGAGCAUUAAUGGAUUUUGAAAAAAGUUAAUUAAUCUUGAGGAUGAAAGAAAAGCAACAAAUCUUCACAAUGAAUACUCAACUCAAGCAACUACAUGACAUUAAUGAGUGCAAAAGGAUAGACUAUUAAAGAAGAAGCAAGAAAAGGAGGAAGAAGGUGGAGUUGUUGAAUGAGACAAUAAUGAAAAUCUCGUAAUCUAGAAGCAAUAGAUGUGAAAGGAACAACUGCCAACGCAGCUGGUACAAGCCUAAAAACUAUAUUCUUAAGCCAUCAUAAAUAGUCGGAACAUCAGAUUCAAGUUAAACACUUUCAUUCCCAUAUUUUUCUUUACAGUGUGUAUGAGCUUACUAUAAAUUGUUCCAUGUUAUGAUUGAUUUUUACUACUAUAAAAGGGCAUGAUACCUGAACACAUUAAAUAAGGGAAAAUACAUAGUAAGUGAUCCAAUACUUUCAUGCCAGUUCAUUCACCACCUAUAGAUUUAUACCAGAGGAAUACUUAGUUCCCUUCUUUAUCCUUAAUUUUUAUAUAUUGCUUGUUAUAUUUUUGGACAUCAAGAAAAAUGUUUGUUAUAAGUUUGGGGCUGAAAUACAUUGAGUCUUAUCUAUUUUUACUAUUUUAUAUGUUUGCUCGCGUGUAAAAAAAACUUCAUAAAUUUGAAAAAUUAUUUUGUUUUCAGCUUUAUUUUUUCUUUUAUGUGCUUGUGUGGAUUUUAUGAUUUUUUCUACUAUGAUGGAUAUAUUUGAAACUAUGUGUUAUAUGAUAAAUUGUAGAAAAGUUUUAUGUUAAGUUGAUUUUUGCUUAUUCAUGUGAAAAUUGAUAAUUUUGAGCACAAAAUUUAUGUUUUGGAUCAUUUAGGAUUAGUUUGAUUUAAAAUUUAAAUAAGUUGAAAUUAGUGGACCAUUGAUGCUUUACCAUGAACUCAAAUGAAUUCAUGGUAGUCCUUUAUGUUCUAUUUUCAACGCACGUUGAAUUAGCUCAAUCUGAUAUCGGGUGAAAACAUUACGAUCAAAAUAUCAAAGGCUAUUUAGGAAUGAACAUAUGCAAACCGCUACAUGCACAAAACCUUAUGUAUUAUUUAUCAAGAAUAAAACUACUCUACCACACACGCUCAGUGAAUCCUUUGGUGCUCCAGCUAAACUCUCUACAGACAUACCACUUUUCUUUUUUGAUUCAAACUCUUAUUGUUAUCAACUUCAGAAAGGUUUCUUGACUUAAAUUCAAUUCUUGUAAACAGAAAAGCAGGAAAACACGAGAAAACUCUCUCUUCCAUCUUCACACACAAUAAUAUCAUCAAAUUCAUAAAGAACAUCAUGUCAAUUCAUCACUUUUGAAAGAGAAGAUCAUACAUCUACAAAUUAAAUAUUUCAACCUUGGACUUGAAGAUCAAUUCCUUUGGUAUUAUUUCAUGAUCCAAGCGAUACUUUUCCGUAAUUCUUUUUUAUGACAGCCUAGAUUUGCUUUUGUAUUGGAUGAAGAUGAGCCAUAUUGUUAUUUAUUUUAAUUCAAAAUUAUUAGUUUAGUAUUUUUUUUUGUAUUUCUUGAUUAAUUUUGCAUACCUGUUGCUCUAUUAAAAUGCUUGACCACUAAUUAGAUAAUUAGAUGCUUUUUAUAGUGUUGAGAGACUCAUAAUAAAUUUGAAAUGCUACAAAAUUAACUUAUAUGCAAUAGAUGUUAGGAAUGAUAUCUAUUACGUAUGCAAUCAUAUUGAUAAUCUCAAAUUUAAUGCAUUCUAAUUAUUCAAAUUUAGGUUUGAAAUAGACUCGGAUCGUGACUAGAAUAGAGUUAAUUUAUCUUGAAAAGAAAGUUGAAUACAUUAAAUUUAUCAAUUGUCAAGAGUGCAUGAAUAAGAUUAAACUACAUAAUUGAGAAUUGAAAUAGUUAGCAACAAGUGGAUUCGAAUUCCAAUACAGUCAUCCAUAAAUUGUUGAAAACAACACUUUUACAGCUUUCUUAGAUUAAUUUAGUACAGAUCAAAUCAAACUCUCUUUUGUGUUACAUAUUUCGAAUCCAAUACAUAACUAGUAAAAUUAAAUUGAAUUUAUUUCCUGUGGGACAAUAACUCUUAACUAAUCAAGUCUAUUACUUGUUAACUAUCCCGUACAUUUGCAAAAUUUUACCGAACACAAAGUAGAAUUAACAAACCAGAAUCUAAAUUGAAUUAUUGUGAUUUCUGAUUAUAUUAGAGAAUUCUAACAUCAGAACUCAUGCUGAACAAUGAAAAUCACUCCUUCAGGAAGCAACUAAAAAAGCUGAAUGAAAUUGGCAAUGAGUGUUUAAAGUUAGCCUCUCUCUCUCUCUCUAAAGAGCUUAAAAUCUAUGCCAAAUAUUACAUAGAUUAAGCAAAUUUCAAAUGGAAAUCAAGGUCGAGUCCAAAAGGAAAACCCUAGAAAUGGCUAAAUCCAAACAAUGCCUUAGACCUCUUAAUGAUGAAAUAAAUAUGAGAUUAUCUUCAAAAUGGUGGUUGUAAUUUGUGGUACAAGUAAAUUUGAAUUCAGAUUUUACAAAACCAAGAGGACAUUCAAAAUUGUACUCUUACAUAUCGACAUUUGGCAUGCAGUGUUGUGGUCUCUUCAUUAUCUUUGACAAUGAACUGGUCAAGGGAUCGUCUUUAAAAAAAUCUCGUACUUCAGUAUCAGAUUCAAGUAAAAGAAACAAAGAAGUUUCACAGUACCACUACUUAAAAUUAUACUUGGUUUCAUAUAAGUGAAUCGACUAUGAUUAUUUUCACUGCUUAAGAACAGUACCUAUGAUUUGAAGCUUCUCUAUAAGAGCAGAUUUACGAAAAGAAGAACAGUAAUAUCUUAUAUGGCAAUGUUGAUUUUUGAACAUACUCGACUUCUAAUAUUAAUUAUCCGAUUCCUCUUGCAAAGAAUUUCGGACAAAUGCUCAUUGCUGAGGUGUCAAUUUUCUAACACGUGUUCGACAUGUAAUUUAAAAAGAGUACCAACACAAUACGUCGUUAUUAUGUUAUUUAAAAAAUAUUUACUUUGUUUUAGUCUAAUAUUAUUUAUGUUUUUCUGUUAUUAUUAAAUUCAUAAUCAAAUAGAAGGUACAGAGAUAUUUUUAAUUUCGAAAUAAUCUUUGUUAUUCAAAUGUAAGCCUGUCAAUAUUGUUUAAAGAAAUUUAAUGUAGUGGGUCCCUUUUUUUCUUUUAAGAAUUGAGAAACAUGCAAUUAUGAGUAAUUUUCCCUCCCCAAUUGAGUCGAUUAACAGAGUGAAAAAUGCUUAGUUGGUAACAAUGGUUGGGCUUUUAGAACUUUUAUACAAAAGACAUUGUUCUUAUUAGGUUGUUGCAUUUUUUCGCCACUUGAAGCAAAACUUCAUGUCAGUGGCAAUGACGCUGAAAGUGUAAAAAUGGAGUUCAAAGAUUAUGCUACUUGCUUUACCUCUAUUUUCGUUUUUCUUCUUGGUUAUUUUUUAUUUUUUGGGCAGGUCAAACAUUACACCACGCCGUGCUACUGCGAGUCAACACCUGUUUGGUGACUGAAAAACAAAAAAGAAGAUGGAACUUGAAAUUUUCUGUGUCAGAGUUGUGUGGAAGAUUGACUCACCGAUGUCAACUUCGUGUCUGUGCAUCAUAGGUGUUUACAUUCAUUAUACGUGGGCAAAUGAAAAAGUGUUUCAGAGCCUCAAUCGUUGUGAUGGAUUCAAUUAAACAGCACCACCAUAUAUUAUUAUGGGAUACUAAAGAAUAAAAAACUAGAUUGAAGGCCAAUGGGUAGAAAUUAAAGUUCUACAAUAUGUACUUAAUCUAAUUAAACACAUAGAUGCUUAGUACGUAUCCAUGUCCUUAUAAGGAGGCAAAAGUACAUAUCCAUUUAGAAAUUUAUAAACUGUAUCAUGAUGAUUUAAAGAAGACAGCAAGAGCCUUUAAAACUUAGAAACACAACCAUAGAAAGCUGAAUAAUGUAUUUGAACCUUCUACAGAAAAUAAUUCAAUCAAAGUUACUCUGAAUGAUUCAAAUCAUUGAAGGAGUGUAUUUGGUACCUGGAGUUGAAAUUAGAAAUUACCAACGAGCAAUAUAAAGCGAAACAGUUUAGUCAACAGUUAAUAAUCAUUAAUCUUCAACAAUUCUGGGAGUAAUUGUCAUAUCUCCUCAUUGCUAGGGGAGUAGUUAGAAGGCAAGAAAUCAUCUAACCAAUCAGCAUAAAUUCCCUAAACCUGCCUGCCGAGCUUCCAUGUCUUUCUUUCUGCAUCUUCAUUUGCUGGAGCAACAAUAACAGCAGUUGCCUGAGAUGAACCAAUUACAGGCACCAGGAAAGGCUCUUCUGGAAUUUUGCUGCCUGAAUUCAUUACUGGCUCCGUCUUAACUCGAGCACGAUGUAACUGGAAAUCUGCAAAAAAGAAAGCAUAUGUGUUGGAAGUUUUACAUGAAUGUAAAGUAUUUUCAAUAGGAAACAAACAGGCUACUAAUUGAAAUUAACGUUCAAGUAGGAAAUGUUUUAUUGAAAUUGAUUAUAAGAAGGGCUUCGAAUUAGACAAAAAAAAAAUAUUAGGAUUUUGAUAAGAUAUUUUUUAUGGUAUUCUUUUUCUUUCAUUUUUAUUCAAUUGUUACAGUAUAACUACAUAUACAUGUCAUUUUAAAACAAAUAUCAUUAUUCGUACUGAUAUUUUGAAUGAGUUAUCUGGACUUCCAAAAUUUGUCGUUAGCGAAAAAGCACAAAAUGUGUUAUCUGUUACCAUUUAAUGAGAACCUUCUUUUUCUUGUUAAUGUCAUGAAAGGGUCUUCCUAAACAAGGUAAAUCAGCAAGAUCAGUUCAAAGGAAACAUUAAUUGUAUUGAACUAAACCCAAAAAGAAAGCUUUAAAUUGUAAUACGAGAGACUAAAUAUACCUGACUGGUCAUGAGCAAAAUGACAUGUUUUUCCAGAAGGGCAUUGGCCGAUCUCCCAUUUGCAACCUAGUUUCGUUUUCCGAAAUGGUGUCUUUGCUUGGAAAGUAUCGGAACUGCUGCUAAGAUUCUUACCAUAAUCAGGCUGAGCAUAAUCACUUUUAUUUAUCAAAUCAGGCCUCGUAGUUCCAAUACUUACAACAACACUCUCUCUCUUUUGCUUUGAAAUGUCAGUCAAAAAUUUCAUUGGACUUUCAUGAAGAAAUUUGUAUUUCUCUCCAUAUCGACACUCAAACCCAUUGUAAAACAAAUAGCAAAUUUUCGUCCUGUGUGUCAUUCUUUGAUCAUCGCUAAAAUUUUCAGUGCCUCUCUUCUUUCCUCGAACAAGUUCUUGCCAAUUUGGAGGGGGAUUCCGUAAAUCUUCAACACCGUGAGCAUAUGUGCAAUGCUCCCCAUUCUUGCAGGUACCUUUGGAGAAUUUCGCAUAAAUAUGAGUCUUGUAAAAUAUAUGGCCCGUUCCUUUAGUCUCCGAGGAUUUAGUAAUGUCAUCAUGUGAUUUCAUUUGUGCAAAGGGUGCAAAAUUUGAUGGGUUGUUUUCAAGGUUCAUUAGUCUCUUGAAGGGAGGGGGAUGCUCAAAUUGAGAAACAGCUCCAUUCAUAGGAGGUGUAGGCCAAAACCUAUCAACAUCUCCACCGGCAAAAGGUAGAGGAAGAAAUGGAGGAAGUGGUGGUUGUUGUGCAGGAUCAGGAAAACUCAUCGUGUUUUGGUAUUUAAAGAAAUCUCCGAAUUCUUCUCACUAUGCUAAGUUUAAAAUCUUGGCAAUAAAAAAGAAAAAGAAAAAACCGAUACCAACCUGAAAUAAAUCAUAAGAAUUAAAAGACAAAAAUGACAGGGAUUGAAAUUUGAUGUGAUGUCAAUGCAAAUGAUCCUAAAUUGUUCAACAUAAUCAACAGCCACAUAAAAUAUUAGUCCAAAAUAGCACAAAGAAUUAAAAGCACCAAAAAAAUCAAGAAUAGGAAAAUUUGCAUAGAAAGAUAAGCCACAUCUGAACUACAAAAUCAAUAAUCAUGUACCAAUGUUUAGUCAUGAGGCUGGGGUUUUAAAUUCCCUCUAAAUAUAAAUUUAAAAUAUUAGAUUUAAGAGAUGAGAAAGUCAUAAUUUAUUUAGAACAAUUUUUAUUUUUACUUUUGUUUUUUGUUUUUUAUUUUAUUAGAAUCAAGCCCUUUAGUCUCUUAAUCUAACUUGAGUCUUAAAUUUUAACUGGAUCUUUCUAUCACAAUUAACCAGGCUAAGAAAUUUGCUAAGACACCUAAAGACUCCCCAGCUUUUAUGCUCUCGGAUCUUCCCCUUUUCUUUUUUCUUUUUUCUUUUUUUUUUUUUUUUUUUGUCUUUUGGCACCAAAAUUUUUAAUUGAAUUUAAUCUAAGCAAAUGAGAUUUCUGAGUAUAUUAGAAAUUCUAACAGGACAUGCUGAACAAUGAAAAUCACUCCUUCUGGAAGCAACUAAAAAAGGGGAAUGAAAUUGGCAUUGGGUGAAAGUUAAAAGCUAUUAGAUUUAUUUAUUAUUAUCUUUUUUUUUUUUUUUUGGUUUGGCUCUGCAAAGCUUAAAACAGGGCCAAAUAUUAUGUAGAUUAAGCAUAUUUCAACUGGAAAUCAAGGUCCAGUCCAACAAGAAAACCCUAGAAAUGGGUAAACCCAAACAGUGCCUUACACCUCAUACUGGCGAAAUAAAUAUGUGAUUAUCUUCAAAAUGGUGGUUGUAAUUGUGGGACCAGUAUAUUUGAAUUCAGAUUUUACAAAAACAAGAAGAAGUACCAAAUUGUACUCCUGCAUAUCGACAUUUGGCAUAGAGUGUUGUGGUCUUUGCAUUACCUUUGACAAUGAACUGGUCAAGGGAUCGUUCUAAAGAAAAAUCCAAUGGUUAAGGAUCGGAUUCAGGUACAUGUUGCAAAGAAGUUUUCACAAUGCCACUGCUUAAAAUUAUACUUGAUUUCAUAUAAGUGCAUGGCCUAAGAUUAUUUCUACUGCGUAAGAACUGUUAAGGGAAUAUAAUCCCACAUCGGUAAAAAUAUCGAAAUAAUGACCAAUAUAUAAAGAAUUGGGACACUCCUCUUAAUAAGGUUGACCUUAUUAAGAUGGACCCCAAGUCUUCACAUGGUAUCAGAGCCCAUUAAGCUCCAACGAGCGAUUCGAUCCGAUUAAGUCUCUAAAAAUGAGCACACGGAUUUCAAGAUUGGUCUGCUCAAAUGAGCCACCAUCUUGCGGGGGCAUGUUAAGGGAAUAUAAUCUCACAUCGGUAAAAAUAUCGAAAUAAUGACCAAUAUAUAAAGAAUUGGGACACUCCUCUUAAUAAGGUUGACCUUAUUAAGAUGGACCCCAAGUCUUCACAAGAACAGUACCCAUAAUCUGAAGCUUCACUAUAAGAGCUGAUUUUUGAAAGGAAAAACAAACCCGAAUCCUCUUACAAUAAAUUUCAAAGGAAUACUCAUUGCUAAGGUAUCAAUUUUCUUAAAUGUGUCUGACACUGUAUUUAAAAAGUACCAAUACGAUACGUUGUAAUUUCUUUUUUUAAAAUCAUAGUUUAUUUUAGUUUAAUAUUAUUUAUGAUUUUCCGUUACUAUUAAAAUCAUAAUCAAAUAGAAGGUACAAAGAUAUUUUUAUGUUUUGAAAUAAUCUUUGCUAUUCAAAUGUAAGCCUAUCAAUAUUUUUUAAAGAAAUUUAAUGUAGUUAGCCCUUUUUUAUUAAGAAUUGAGAAAAAGAAAUUGUGAGUAAUUUCCCCUCCCCAAUUGAGACGAUUGAUGUAGUAAAAAAUGUUUAGUGGGUAGCUAUGGUUGGGCUUUUAGAACUUCUAUAUAAAAUACAUCGUUCUUAUUGGGUGGUUGUAUUUUUUUGCCACUUGAAAAGAAGCAUGUCUGUGUGGCAAUAACACUGAAUCUGCAAAAAUAGAGUUCAAGGUUACGGUACUUUCUACUUCUCUAUUUUCAUUUUCUUCUUGGUUAUAUUUAAAUUUUUUGGCAUGUCGAACAUUACAACACACCGUGUCACGGCGAGUCAAUGAAUGUUUGGCGCCUGAAAAACAAAAAAAGAAGAUGAACACCGCCACUUGACAUUUUUGACACGUGUUAAAAGCAUGUCGGAGUUGUGGGGAAGAUCAACGCACCGAUGUCAACUACGUGUCUGCGCAUCUCAGAUCGAUACUGGUUACGUCAUCUUACAUAAGAAAUGAAAAAUUGUUUCAUAGCCUUGAUCAUUGUGAUGGGAAUUCAAUUCAAAAGCACCACCAUAUAUUAUUGUGGGAUACUAAAGAGUAAAAAACUGGGUUGAUGGUCAAUGGGUAGAAACUAAAAUUCUAUAAUAUGUAUUUAAUCGAAUUAAACAUAUAGAUGCUUAGUAAGUUAUCCUUGAUAUGUGCUUUAAACCUCUGACAAUCAAUGGAGCCCUGUACCUCCAAGUAUUCUUGGAUGUUACUCAAAACUUCAAGAAUGCCAUAUCUUUUUUAAGUGUACGGACAUUAGUGGAUGAAUAAAUGUGGUUUUUUUUUUUCCUUCUUUUUUUUUUUUCUUUUUUUGAUAAUUGGUUUUAACUAGUUUCAUUUUUAGUUUGGAAUAAUUUAUUUUAAGUACGUUGAUUAAAUAUUUCAAGAAUUGUCAUUUUCGAAAUAUGAAAAUCUGUAAAUGAAUUUUUAAUAUUCUUGUUUAUUCUCGUGUUUCAUAUUUUUUUUUUUUUUUAAACUAUGCCCCCACUGAAAUAAAUUCCUCGCUGGGGGAGUAGUGAUGAGGCAAGAAGACAUCCAACCAAUCAGCAUAAAUUCCCUUAACCUGCCUGUCGAGCUUCCAUUUCUUUCUUUCUGCAUCUUUAUUUGCUGGAGCAACGAUAACUGCAGUUGCAUGAGAUGAACCAAUUACAGGUAUGGGGAGAGGCUCUUCUGGAAUUUUGAGGCCUGUAUUCAUUAUCAGCUCUGUCUCAACACGAGCACCAGGUGACUGCAAAUCUGCAGAAAAGGAAGCAUAUGUGUUUGAAGUUUCACAUAUAAAGUAUUUUCGAUAGGAAAUAAACAUGCCACUAAUUGAAAGCGAUGUUCAUGUAGGAAAUGUUCUAUUGAAAUUUAUUAUAAGAAGGGCAUCGAAUUGAGCAAAAGAGAAAUAUUAGGAACUUGAUAACAUACUUUUCACGAUAUUUCUUUGCUUUCAUUUUGAUUCAAAUAUUACAGUAUAACCACGUACACGUUUGAUUUUAAAACAAAUAUCAUUAUUCGUAACAAUAUUUUGAAUGUGUUAUCUGGACUACAAAAUUUUUUGUUUGCGAAAAAGGACAAAAUAUGUUAUCUGCUGCCAUUUAAUGAGAACCUUCUUUUUCUUGUUAAUGCCAUAAAAGGAUAUUGCUAAACAAGGUAAAUCAGCAAGAUCAGUUCAUAGCAAAAACAUUAAUUGUGUUGAACUAAGCCAGAAAAGAAAGAUUUAAAUCGUACUACGAGUGACUAAAUAUACUUGACUGGUCUUGAGCAAAAUGAUAUGUUUCUCCGAAAGGGUAUCAGCCGAUCUCCCAUUUGCAACAUAUUUUCGUUUUCCAAAAUGCUGUCUUUGCUUAGAAAGUAUCGGAACUGCUGCUGAUGUUCUUACUAUAAUCAGGCUGAGCAUAAUCUUUUUUAUUUAUCAAAUCAGGCCAUGUAGCUCCAAUACUUUCAACAACUCUUGCUCUCUUUUGCCUUGAAAUGUCAGUCAUAAAUUUCAUUAGACGUUCAUGUAGAAAUUUGCAUUUCUCUCCAUAUCGACACUCAUGUCCGUUGUAAAAUAAAUUGCAAAUUUUCAUCUUGUAUAUCAGCCUUUUGUCAUCACUAAAAUCCCCAGUGCCUCUCUUCUUUCCUCAAACAAGCUCUUGCCGAUUUGGAGGGGAAUUUCAUAAUUCUUCAACAUCAUGAGCAUAUGUGCAAUGCUCGCCAUUCUUGCAGGUACAUUUGGGGAAUUUUGCACAAAUACAAGUCUUGUAAAAUGUAUAGCCCGUCCCUUUAGUGUCCAAGAUUUAUUAAUAUCAUUGCGGAAUUUAUUUGUGCAAAGGGUGCAAAAUUUGAUGGGUUGUUUUCAAAAUUCAUUAGUCUCUUGAACUGAGGGGGAUCCUCAAAUAGAGAAACAGCACCAUUCAUAGGAGGUGUAGACCAAAACCUAUCAACAUCUUCACUGGCAAAAGGUAGAGGAAGUAAUGGAGGAAGUGGUGGUUGCUGUGCAGGAUCAUGAAAACUCAUCGUGUUUUGGUAUUGAAAGGAAUUUCCUGAUUCUUCUCACCUAUAACUAUACUAAGAUAAAAAAUAAAAAAUAAAAAAUAAAAAUAAAACAAAAAUAAAAAAUCUGAUACUAACCUGGAAUAAAUCAUAAAAUUAAAAAACCAAAAUGAUGGAUUGAAAUUGGGAGUGAUGUCAAUGCAAAUGAUCAUAAGUUGUUCAGAAUAAUCAACAACAGCCACAUAAAAAUUUUGUGCAAAACAACACAUAGAAAUACAGCACUGAAAAAUCAAGUAUCAAAAAAUUUGAAUAGAAAGAUAAGCCACUUCUAAAUUACAAAAUCAAUAGUGAUGUAUCAUUGUUAAGUCAUGAGUUUGGGGUUUCAAAUUCCAUCUAAAUAUAAAUCUAAAAUAUUAGAAUUAGAAGAUAGGAAACUCAUAUUUUAUUUUGACCAAUUUUUAUUUUAAAUUUGUUAGAAUCAAGCCCUCUAGCCUGUUGAUCUAACUUGAAUCUUAAAUUUAACUGGAUCUUUCUAUCACAAUCAACCAAGCUCAGAAAUUUGGGAAGAACCCUAAAGACUCCCCAGCUUUUAUACUCUCUGUUCUUUCCUUUUUUUUUUUUUUCCUCCUUUGGCAGCACAUUUUUUACUAGGGUUAGGUUUCUAUUAGGGACAUCAAGAGGUUUCUUAUUGAUAAUUAAGAAAUUGAUUUCUAGGGCCGCCAUAAGGGCUUGGAACUAAAUCAGUUCACCAGCAGUAACUCAAAUGUCUGGGAGGAAGCAAUUGAAAUAAAAACCUCAGGUCUUCAUCUUGUUCUUCACAAGGAUAUGUUAGAACAGAAGUGCUUGCCUCCUUUCGGGAUUCACUUUUACAACUUACAAGUUUUCUCCAAGAAUUUCAUUUAAUAGUGAUCUAAAAUGUAAAAUCAUAAGAACCUAGAAAGCGAUACUGUACUUUAGAAGAACAAGAAUUCAAUUCUUGACCAAAAUUAAAUUUGCAAACAAUCUUACUAAUUUAACAAGACAACUGAAUUUAUAUUGUUCCAUAAUGGAUUCCUCAAGAAUAUUUUCACGAAAAACAAGAAAUAAUUUUUUUAAUUCUUGAAAAUUUUAAAAAUAACUGUUUAUAUUCAUCAUUUACAAACAAAAAAUUAGACAAAGCAGAAUUACCAAGCAUGAAUUUAAUUUGAAUUAAUUUGAUUUUCAAGAAUACUAGAAAUUCUAACAGGAGAACUCUGUUGGAAGAAAGAGGGGUUUACUAACUUGGAUUGACUAAGGCUUUUAAGAGGACAACACUAAUAGGAAGAAGGAAGUGAAAAAAGAAAACUUGUAAUUCUCAACUUCAAGACUUUACACACUUUUUGGCUUAUUACAAAAUGGAUGGCACUACCCCUUUAUAUAGUGUUUACAUGAAACUUCUAGUCUACGCAAUUUUCUAGAGACAUCUAGACCACACAUCAAGAUAUUUUUCUAGAAUUCUCUAGAUAUUCUUCAUAAGACCACAUAUGAAGAUGAUGGAGAAGCAUCAUAAGACCAUGGUGUCCUUUCGCUCGAGCUUUCUCCUUGUGAAGAUGAUGGAGAAGCAUCUCCACGAGUAGACGAUAGAGGUGGAUUGAUAAGCUCUUGCAGCUCUUCAUUCUCUUAUUCUUCUUCUUCAAAGAUUGGUAAAAAGUCGUAGUCUUCUUCUUGGACAGCCCAAUCCCAAGCUCCUUCUUCAUCAAGCUCGACAUCUCUACUUUUGAUGAUCUUCUUCUUAUUUGGAUUAUACAACUUGUAGCCUUUAGAGCGAGAGUCAUAACCGAUAAAAACAUACCUUUCACUCUUUUCAUCUAGUUUGGAUUGUUUUUGAUCUGGUACAUGAGCAUAUGCAAUGCUCCCAAAUACUCGUAAGUGAGAGAUGCUAGGCUUUCUUCCACUCCAUACUUCUUAUGGUGUCUUAUUCCACACUUUUUUAGAAUGCGAUUGAUUAGACAGAUACACGGUGCAAUUAACAGCUUCGGUCCAAAGUUCUUUGGGCAAUCUCUUACUUUUGAGCAUGCAACGAGCCAUAUUAAGAAUUGAUAUAUUCUUUCUUUCAGCUACUCCAUUUUGUUGUGGAGAGUAUGGAACCGUCAAUGGGCGAUGAAUUCCAUUCUCCUCACAAUAUUUCUCAAACUUUUUGGAGGUGAACUCUCCUCCUCUAUCCAAUCUUAAGGCUUUUAUACUAUAUCCACUUUCUUUUUCAACAAGAGUUUUAAACUUCUUAAAAGUUUCAAAAACUUCCGAUUUUUGUUUGAGAAAAUAGACCCAAGUCUUUCUACUAAAAUCAUCAAUAAAAAGAACAAAGUAAUUGCUUUUACUGAGAGAGCUUAGAUUAAUUGGCCCACAAACAUCAGAGUAUACAAGUUCUAACGGCUUCUUAGCUCUUGUAGAUACUUCUUUUGGAAAACUUUCCUCGAAUGCUUUCCAAGUAAGCAUCCUUCACAUAAUUGAUUUGCAUGAUUUAUUGGAGGCAAACCUUUCACCAUCAAUCUUACUCAACAACUUUAAGCCUCCAAAUUAAGAUGCCCAAAUCUCAAGUGCCAAAGCCAAGAUGAAUUUUUAAAACAAGAUUUUAAGCAUUUGGCAACAUCAUUUUAAAUGCUUAACACAAACAUUCUAUUUCUUGUUAUAGGUACUUUGGCAAUCAAAUUUUCUCUUUGAUCUCUUAUUAAAAGACUAUGAUCUUUCAAAUGAAUAUCAUAACCCUUCUCUAAGAGUUGUCCUUAACUUAAAAUGUUAUUUUUCAUAUUGGGCACAUAAUAGACAUUUGAGAUAAAUUGAUGAGUAUCAUUUUUCAAGCGGAUCAAGAUUUUACCUAUUUCUUUCACUGGGAUCUUGGAUUCAUCUUCAAAGGUAUUGUUGCCGCUUACUGAUUCAUCAAGUUCCACAAAUAUGUUUUUUCUUCCACAUACACGAUUGCUUGCUCCAGUAUCCAAAUACCAAGUGUUCUUUUCUCUACUCUCUUUACCUUUGUAAGCUAAUAUUAGUGCAAGAUCCACUUCAAUUUCCCAACAAGCAUAGUUAGCUUUCUCCUUAACUUGGUUAGUACUAUUUUUACAUUCUGAAGCAUAAUGACCAAGUUUUUGACAAUUGUAACAUUUAAUUUGAGAUUUGUCAUACCUGGCCCUUCAUUUUCCCUCGUACCUUUUACUCUUCCAGGACCUCUGGAGGAAAAUAAGCUUUGUCUUCUUUCCUCCUUGUAGAAUGCACUUCUUAAUCGCUAUUGGCCUCUUCCUCAUCCUCUUCCUCUUUGGCUUCUAUUAGUACUGAACCUUCCUUCACCCUCGUUCAAAGUGAGCUUUGUUUGAAGAGCUUGCUCUAAUGGCUUUUCUUUCACCUUCUUCUUUAGUCUUUCCUCAUGGGCUUGUAAAGAUCCCAUGAGUUGAUCAACACUCAUACUAUCUAGAUCUUUAGAUUCCUCAAUAGCUACAACUAUGUAAUCAAAUUUAGAAUCUAAAGACCUAAGUAUCUUCUCAAUUACUCGAGUGUCAUUCAACUUUUCUACAUUCCUCUUUAAUUAAUUCACAAUAGCCAAUACUCUAGACAAGUAAUUAGAAAUUGAUUCCAAUUCUUUCAUAUGUAAAGCUUCAAACUCACCUCGAAGUGUUUAGAGUAUAAUCUUUUUCACCUUCUCAACUCCUUUGUGGGAGUUUUGCAAAAUCCCCAUGCUUCCUUACUUGUAGUAGCACAAGCUACUUUCUCGAACAUGCCUUCAUCUAAGGCUUGAUAGAUGAGGGUAAGCGCCUUCUUGUCCUUCUUCCUUGCAUCCUUCAAACUAUCCCUUUGUACUUGGGAUAAAGCAACCUCGUCUUGUGGCUCCGUGUAACCUUUCUCUACGUUCUUCCAUGCAUCUUGGGACCCGAGCAACGCUUUCAUCCUUAUGCUCCAAUUGUCGUAGUUAUCCUUGUUGAGUUGGGAAACUUGAAAAGGAAUCAUCUCACUUGCCAUUUUUCACAAGAACCUUAGGGCUCUGAUACUAGUUUGUUGGAGGAAAUAGGGGUUUACUAACUUGGAUUGGCUAAGGCUUUUAAAAGGACAACACUAAUAGGAAGAAUGAAGUGAAAAAAGGAAACUUGUAUUUCUCAACUUCAAGACUUUACACAUUUUUUGGCUUAUUACAAAAUGGAGGGCAUUGCCCCCUUUAUUUAGUGUUUACAUGAAACUUCUAGUCCACACAAUUUUCUAGAGAUAUCUAGAUCAUACAUCAAGAUAUUUUCCUAGAAUUCUAUAGAUAUUCUUCAUAAGACCACAUAUCUUACUUAGAUAUUUAUAUAGAUUUUUCUAGACAAUAUUUCUAGAAAUACUAGGCAUGUAGGGCCUUUUAAUUGAUUUGGGUCUAUAAGCAAAAUCCUUAAACUCUUAUUAUUUAGUCCAAAAAUCAAGUUUACUACUCAACAAGCUCAUGCUGAACAAUGAAAACCACUCCUUCUGGAAGGAACUAAACAAGGGGAUGAAAUUGGCAUUGAGUGAGUUUUUAAAGUUUUUAGGCCCCCCCCCCCCAUCUAAAAAGCUUAAAACUAGGCCAAAUAUUACAUAGAUUAAACAGAUUUCAAAUAGAAAUCAAGGUCUAGUCCAAAAGGAAACCUAAGGAAUAGCUAAACCUAAGCGUUGCCUCACACCUCUUAAUGACAAAAUAAAUAUGAGAUUAUCUUCAAAAUGGUGGUUGAAGUUUGUAAGACCGGUAUAUUUGAAUUCAGAUUUUACAAAUACAAGAGGGAUGUUCAAAAUUGUACUCCACAUAUUGACAUUUGGCAAGCACUAUUUUGGUCUCUUCAUUACCUUUGACAAUGAAAUGGUCAAUAAGACGUUUUAAAGAAAGAUCUCGCCAUUGAGGAUCGGAUUCAGGUACACAAUGCAAAGAAAUUUUCACAGUACUACUGCUUAAGAUUAUACUUGAUUUUAUAUAAGCGAACCACCUAUGAUUAUUUUUAUUGCUUACACUACAAGAAAAAUGAUAUUUUAUGACUAAUGCUUCAAGGACAAAAUCAAUUUGGUGGUUAAAAAUUAUUUUCGACGAUUAAACAUAAGUUUAGUCGUACAAAAUGGUUAAAUUAGUCGGAAAUAUUUUAUAACGACCCAUAAAUAAUUGUUAAUUCUAUAUCUUUUAUGACCAAAUUAAAUUGGCCGUUGUGAGUGGACGCCAAAUCAAAAAUUCCCACCAAAAUGUCCGUUCAUAUUCAACGACAGCGCAAUUGGUAGUAAACAUUCGAUUACAAUAAUGUCUAGUAGUUAAUAUACUAAAACAACAAUUGAUUUGUCUUGUUGUUGAAACUAAAGAAAAAUUCGACAUUCAACGACUACUUUAGUCGAUGUUAAUGGUGAUUUCAAUUUCCCCUCCUAAAAUUUCACUUCCUGCCAAAAUAUUCUUUUGGCUCUCAAAAUUUCAUAUCACGGUCAAACAAUUUUCACUCAUCCAUGCAGGCAUUUCAUUUCACUCCAAAACCCUAAGCUCAAAUCCAUAACUUCAUCACUUCUCAUUGAUGUACAUCGCCUCCCUCUUCCUCUUCCUCACUCUCUCUAACUCUUUCUCUUUGAGCACAUAGAGAUAAAAAGGAACCUUAAAUUUCAAUCUCCACAAUCGUCGAAAUGUCACCACGUACCUUUCCAAACUUUUUCCACCAAAUAAACUACAAUAUAUGUAGUAUAAAAGAAAAAUGAAAAAUAUCCUCCAUCCCAUAUUUUAUAUACUAAAAGCUGAAAUCAUGCCACCAGACACGCCUCAUAAACCACCUCGAAUUCACUUCCUAUUUCUCAAAUCUCCCACCUUUACCAUUAAACAAUUGAACUAAGAAAUUGGUAAAUCAAAACAAAAAGAUAUUCAAUACACUCCAAGAACUCUACAAAUCAUAUCUCAACCUAUAAUUCCACCAUAUUUUUCAUCCAAAAAAUCUUUGUUUUUGAGACACACACACACACACACACACACCGAUUCGUUGCAUUUUUCAUCAAUCUCAUGAUCCAUGUAAAUCUACUGAAGAUAUGCAUAGAGAGAGUUAACGAUUCCAAUCUCUAUAAAACUUCAUUAUUUUCAAUCUUUGCAUCAAAUAAUUUAUUAAAAUCCUAUUUGAGAGAUUACACACCAGGCAUCAAGCUUCUGACCUAUUAGAUGGAAACUCCAAAACACAUUUCAACUAGGGAUUCGACAAGAACAAUCUGUGGUUCUGUACUACACCAUCAAUGGAGUUAUUGGACACCAAGAAUGAAAAUCUGGAAACUCUUUCAAGAUGCAUCACUUGUUAAGUAAGCAAUUUGAUGGAUGCAAGGGACAAUGUUCAUAGGUCAUCUGAUUCUAGCCAUUCACAUCCAGGAGAUGCAACGAUCCAAAAAAAAAAAAAAAAAAAAAAAAAAACAAGACAACUCCUCCAAGAGGCAUAUUGAAUUGGUUGUUCUAAACCCUAGUUCCAAUAAGAAAAAAAUUCUUAAUCAACUUCCAACCAAACGAUUGAUGUGAUGGCAGAAAACUUCAACGUGAACAUCUCAUGAUCGUACUUGGCUACCCAACUAUUCAAGCAUGGUACGAGAAGCAGAUAGAAGGUUAUGAGAUGGACUUUGAUAUAAAUUUUUUUGGCAUAUAUAUGCUGGGCUUUUUAAAUUGUUAAGUGGGUACUAACUAGCAAGAGUCCAAUGCUCUGAAUUUGGUUAAAGCUUGUCAAAUUUGGUUCUUGCUUAUUAAAAUGUGAAGUGAGACUAUUUUGUUGAGACUUGGAAUUUGCUAAUGUGUUACAUUUCAUUUGAUGCUAUAUGUUUCAAACCAUUCAUGUAUCAUUUCAAGUCAUGUCAAACACUACCUACACACUACACACAAAUGAAUAUAUAGUUAAAAUGUAUCAGCAUGACCCCAAACCAAGAAUGUGUGUCAAUGAAAAAUACAUACAAUAUGACGCAAGAUAUAUAAUACUCAAAGACAUGUCAUCUAAUGUAAUGUGAAAGAAAUAGCUAGGGGAAAAAAUUAGAGAGUGAAAAUAAGUACAGUAAGGGUUGUGCCAUGGUAAUGGUUAUGUGUGCCAAUUUUUCAUUAAUGCAUUGCCACUAAUAAUUUAGCCCUCCAAAAAUUAGAUAACUUGUCUCUCCCAUUUACAAUAUACACAUGAAGCUCAUGACUUUAUCAUCUUGGUCGAAUUGCACACUUAGAUGUUACAUAUUAUGCAAUGAUACACCUAACUAAUUGAAUCAUAUAAUUUGCAUUACACUAGAAGUUAUGUGCUUCAUACUCAAUUUGGUGUCAUGUAAACAAUAUUAUAAUUUUGUGGAUGCAUGGUGAAGCACAUGUUAAUCUAAGUUAAUUUGCUAAGUUUAUGUUGCUGAAGUGAUAUAAGUUUGGCGAUAUAUGUUAAAGUUUGAAUGUAUUCUGUUUUGCAAAUUAAAUUGCAGUCUGCCUUCAUUAGCAGAGCAAAUGUGAGAUCUGAGGUAAGUGAUGUCUGUCUUUGACUGCAUCAUGGCUAGUGCAUCAUGGUACUGUUUGUCUGCGGCCAGGAUAAGUGAAAGGUUAAUGCUGAAUUUGAAAUGAGCAAAAGACUAAAUUCGGAGAAAGAAUUCAUAACAUGCAAUAAUUUAAUGGGGUUGAGGGCAAUGCCAUAUGACAGGAAUAGGAAAGAAACUAAUGUAGUUGGUUACUUGAAAGAAAUAUGUAACUAUGUUUCUAUCUAACAUUGGUGAUCAAAAUUUUCCAUCUGAUAGUUCAAUUGUUGUUUUUUAUUACACCAAUAACGGAUUGAUAAUCUUUAUUGUAUGAUGAUUUUUGAGUCGCUUGACAGUUGACACUACAAGUCUGGGACCAAAAAGAGUUACCCAUCGGAAAGAUCAAGAUUUAGCUUUUGUCUUACUGAGAACAUAUUUCUCGCAGAAUGAUAAAAAUAUGAGAACAAUUCAAGAAACACAUUGUACUGGAACCUGUGGCAAGUGCACUUCAUUUCCAUCAAAUCAACAAUACAUUGUAUGUUUUUGUUCGAAUCUUUGUACAAGAAAUCAUUUGACGCCAAUAUCUAAUAAAUGAAAAAUAAUCUGGAUAUAGAGGUACUCAAAUGAAAAGUAAAAAAUAAGCUUGAAUGAUUGAAUUAACUAUUAUUUGCAAGUUUUUUGUUUAAUAAAAUAAUCCGAUAAACUCAUAUUGUUACACAUACCUGCAAGGCUAGAACUCCAUAUGCAAAACUGAGUUCUAAAGAGAAAAGUACUGUGUUCUAGAGAGAGAAAACUAUAGAUAAACAAUGGCAUUUACAAUCCUUCGUAUAUAUCAGUUGUGUUUCUUACACUAAGUUCUGUAUCUAAUGCCUGUUCGCCGUCGAACCGGGCAACUUUACUGGCCUUCAAGUUCAAAGCUACCUUGCAUGAGCCCUACUUUAGCAUUUCUGACUCAUGGACUGGUACUAACUGUUGUCAUAAAUGGCAUGGAGUGAGCUACGACCAGGAGAUUCAUCGAGUUGUCGACAUCAACCUCCGGGGGAAUCAGAGGACUAGUUUACACAAAAAAGUGCUAUCGUCUAACAUAAUGUAAAACAAAAUCUUGAUAGACAAGAAUUAUGCAAUUGAUUCAAAGAUUCGUAAUAAUAUAUGCAAUGUACGGAAUUAAUUAAUAAAAACACUCAAUUAUUCAGAUUAUGGCAAGGAAUCUAAAAAUAAAGAUUUAACAUAUGAGCAAUAGAUGAAAGUUACUGGUAUAUUCAUCAGUUAAUACCCACCAUAUUUCAUUGAUCGAAAACAUCAUAUACCAUAUGUCUGUAUUGAAUUUAAAAAAAGGGGUUCUGUGCAGUAAUCGACACAGAAUAGGUUAUUGCAUACUUGAUAGAACGGAGAAGAAGAUUCAUAUCAUGUUCAUGAAAACUAAAAGAACGGAGAGCAGAAUUUCAAUUUUUUGGGCACUUUAUGUUAUCCAUGAACUUGAAUUAAGCUUUGUUUUUGCAAACGCAAUUAAUGAAAUGUUUAAUGUUUGCCAUUUUAAAUUUCGGUUACAAAUGAAAAACAUGGAAAUUAUAGGUCAGUACUUCUGCAAUAAAAACCAUAGCAACGUAGUAUUUUAUGUUUGAACCGAGCUACAUGACCCACACGGAUGACCGCACAGACUCAUACACGGAGGCCCCUUUUUUUUUAAUCACUUGGGACCCACCUCGACAUGUGAGGGUACGGUCGCCCAUUGUAUCAACCAUGAUGUUCAUUUGGCAUUUUCCUUUAUGUUUUUGCCUACAAUUAUAGUAUUUUAUGAAAAAAAAUUUUAAUAAUGGGUAUAUAUGAUGUUUCCCCUUAAUUCUAUAAAAUCGGCCCAAUUAUAACCAGAAGUGCCAAAUAAGACUACUGUAAAGUUGGCCCAAUACAAACUAUAGGUCAUGGCUCAAAUUAAAACUUGCAAAUGAUUUGAUAAUAUUAAUUGGCCCACUUAAACAUAACUAGAGUCCAUUCCAUAGUGGCCCAACAAUUAUGGCACAAUGAAUGAUUACUUAUGAGUGGAAAUUACAUAAAUCCAGGUGUUUAAAAAAUCCGAGUUGAAGUUUUAUCAUUCAUAAUUCAGGUCCUUAUGUAUUAAAACCCUAAUUCAUUUCAUCUCUCUAGUUCUCUCUCCCCAUUGUAAGCUCUGCCUCCAUCCAUUCUCUCUGCACGACUGUACUAAUCCGACAAUUGUUACCACCCGCCGUGUGGUGUGGUGGUGCCACUCAAUCGAUUGAUGGUAGCGCCGAGUUGCAGGUUGUAGAUUAGGGCUGCUAUGGGUAUACCUUGUGUGGGUAAAGGCUAUUGUGGUGCCGGAAUUUGGGUACGGUGGUAGUGAGACGGCAACUGGAGCCGGUGUUGGAAGGGGUUUGCGACGCUUGCAGGUUCAAAACCAAGGCUGGAGCCUGUGUUGGAAGAGGUUUGGGACUUUUUGGGUGUUAUUUCUUUCUUUUUCCAGUCAGUAGGUAAUAAUUUUAGGGGUUUGUUUGUUGUAUUUUCAUAUCUUGGCUGUGGCUGUGGCUGUGGCUGUGGCUGUGGCUGUGGCUGUGGCUGUGGUGGUGGUGGUGGUGGUAGUAGGUGCGAUGUGGGUGGUGGUGGUGAUGGUCGUUGAUGCAGGUGGUAGAGCUAGUGAUAUGUGUGCUGAUUUCUGUGAUUUGUGUGGUGGUGCUGGAGAUCGAUACUGUGAGAUGGGUGGUGGACACAGGUUGAUGUGAUCAUGGGAACGUCUCAAAAUUGCAAUGAAUUGACGAUUGAUGAACAGAGAUCGAUCCGAGUUUUGAGCGUAAUUGGAAUCAAUAAAAACAGCCAAAUUUAUUUUUUUGAAGUAAAGAAAUAUAAAUUGUUGAAGUUAACAAACUUGGAAUCAGUUUACAUGCUGGGAAUGGGAGACAAAAGUUGUUGACCAGAUUUUGUCAACCAAUGGAAGUGGGCAACCGAAGCAACUGGAUUUGGAGCCAAGAAUUCAAGCCUUGCGACCGCAAGGCAUAACCCGAGUUGCGGCCACACAUGAUGGAGCAAAAAUCUGGGCACGGCAGUUUGCAUCAACCAUGAGACUGCACCACUUUUCACUAUGCGGUCGCGACGUUAAUUCGAGGACCGGAUUUCGCAAUUUUGGGCCAGUUUCCUAGUUUAACUAGAAUUCUUAUCUUUUGCUAUCUUUAGGUUAUUUGGGGAUGUAUUUUAUCCCUUUUAAACUAGGAUUUUAAUAAUUUUAUUCCUUUUUAAUUAUUUUUAGGUAUUUAGUAUAAAUAGCAAAUUUCUUUCAUUGCAACAUUAGAACGUUGAAUUAUGAAUUGAUGGAGAUUUUUCCUUUCGAAGCUCUUGCUUCAAUAUCUUGUUCUUGAAUGGCAAAAACUGAACUUAUCAAGACUAAUCAUCUUGUGGAGUUCAAAUAAUCGGGUGAGAUUCGUUGGGUUGUAUAAUCAAAAGGUCCUUCGCAUCGCUAUUAUCGUUGGGUUGUUUGAUUCAUUAAUUCUUUGGGUCAAAUCCACAAAUCCGGGUGACGUUCAAUAAUUGUGUGAUCAAGAGGUCAAUAGUUUAAUAUACUAUUGGUUGUUUGGUUCGUGAUUCUUGGAUUAAAUCCAAAACCUUGGUUCUUUGGCGUUCUUGGGAUCUGGUGUCAAUUCUUGUGGGUUCGAUAGCGAUCUAGCUAUUCGAGUUCACAUCACAUGUGGUGAUGGUGUUCACAGAUGAUUUGAUUGUUUGUGAUCAAGAAAUUGGAGUAUGUGACCAACCAUUUAAUCUUCUUUGACCAACUAUUCAGUGUGACAUAAAAAUUUAAUAAUAUGUGACCAAGCAAUUUGAUCUUGAAAUAAUCUGUGACUUGUAAAUUUUUUAUUUGUGACCUCGAAAUAAAUUGUGAUCAAUUAAUUCGACGAUAUGUGACUAGUAAAUAAAUUUGUGACCAAUAAUUAUAAAUUCGUGAACAUUAAUCGUGUAACCGUGAUUUUAUUAUAUUUAAUUAGUAAAUAUUUUCAAUUAAUUAUACAGAUACGUGAAUCUUGAAUUUUUUAAACUUUGUACCUGGUUUGUGAAUUGGUAUAAACAAUACACCCGAAUUAUGAAUUUUUCCCUUACUUAUUAUAUAUCCAAACUUUGUAAGGAAAUCAGUCAUGAUUAAUGGCCCAAUAAAAAUUCUUAUCAUUUGAAAACAAGUACAAUAACUUACUUCAAAAGCAAACAAGAAAACAUUAUAGAGUGCUCCAUUUUGAAAAAUCACACUCAUCUUCUUCCUCUAGUGGGCAAAAUCAGCCCGGUUAUGACCCCUUCAAAUUCAACCUUCCUCGAUGAAAAUCCGAAGUUUAAAACCCCACACAGUCUAGUCAUGUGAUUUAAGGAGAAAUCUGAAUUUAUUUUCGGAAAAAAUUCGGCCAUAAGAUAGAGUUUUGUAGAUUACGGUGAAACACCAAGACAAAGGUAAUUAAUAUGCUGCUUUAAUGCCAAAUGUUAAACUAAAAUUCGAUCCAAAACAAUUAUGCAGAAACAAGUUGAAUCAAAAAAUUCGCAAACUCAUGGAUCGAGUUCAUACUUCAAGCUAUUGAUGUUGUUUCAAGUAAUGGCACUUAAAAGUCUCAACACCCUGAAAUUGAUGGUUUAUAAUGUAUUUUUGAUGGUCGAACUUAGGGACCAAACUUAUCUAUAUAUAUAGCCAAAACCUUCAUCAAGUUAUGGCUACUUUUACCUUUGAAUCAAUGAAGAAAAGAAACCCCAUAAUGCUGUAUGUAAAUGUUGAAAAUUGAAACCAUGUAGGUGAACCAUCAAUUGCUUGUUGAAGAAACUUGAAUAAUGGAUCGAUUACAUGGUGUUCAUGUUGUAAAAGGCAAGCCCACUGCAAAGGCAUAUUUAUCACAUCUAACCACCACCACUUUCUACCCAAUCAAGUGCUCCUUGGCAAAAAUGGAGUCGGGGCAGCCAAGUAUGUGGUUCAUGGCAUCUAUGACUACUCUCUAUGCACAAAUAAUCAACCUACUGUUACUCCCGGCAAGCAUCCCUCCUGAUAAUAGAUAAACCUCGCAAUUUUUACUUCCAUUUGCCAUAAAAUCUAUUAUAAACUAUUAGAGAGCCAUAGAAGUAAAACCAAAAAUUAGCCAUGACAUCUGUAUAAUUUCUUGAGGAGGUAGGAGGGGAUAGUUAAUUAAGAGUGGUUAUGGAUAUACAAAUGGGCCCACAAAUGGACUGUGAUUGUAUCAACAAUCGUGGAGAUUGAAAUUUACGGUUUCUUUUUCUCUAUAUAUGAUCAAAGAGAAAGAGUGAGGAAGAGGAAGAGAGGCAGUGUAUGUUACAAUCCAAUUUUUAUAGUCAAAAAUUCAAAUAUUGACUAGUCAAAGUCAAAGUCAAUCAAGGACUAAAAGGAAAUUAAAUAUUUUAUUUAGGUUAUUUUGCAAUUGGCAAAAUAUAAAGGUUGAAUUGGAUAUAUUUAAAAGUUUGGAAUUUAUAUAUAUACUUUUGGAAGUUAAAAGAUUAAAUGUUACUAAAAAGUGAAGUUAAGGGAUUUAUUGUGCAAAUUUUGGAUUUUGGACUACAUAUUCAAACCUUUGACCCAAUUUUAACCCUAUUUCACACACACACAGAGUAAACAUACGGGAAGGAGCAGAGACCGAGAAAGAAGGAGAAAAAGAGGAAAAGAAGAAGGGAAAAAGGAAAAGAAGAAGGGAAAAAAGAAGAGGAAAGGAGGUAAGGUUGAUAUCUUCAAGUUGGGUUGAAAUUUUCCAUUUGUUUUAGGUGAUAAAGUAUGAAUUAUGUUAAAAUUUUUAGGGUUUUAACUUGUUGAAUAAUAUGUCGAAUUUUAGGGAUAUUUGCUCGAAUUGGAGCUCAAGUGUGGGGAUUUAUUCAUUUCAAAUUUUCAGCAAGGUAUGGAGAUGUCAAAUUUUUGGGAAAACCCUAGAAUCCGAUUUUGGGGGUUUUAAUUAAUUAAUUGUGAAGUGAUUAUGUAAAUGAAAUAUUUCACUUAGGAAUUGAUUUUAUGGAACAAAUGUAUAUUAUGUGGGUGGAAUUGUGGUUACUAGUUUCAUUAGAUUGGAGAGUAAAAUUAGUUUUAAAUUUGAAAUGAUGGUUAUGUUGAUAAAUUAGUGAUUUUUAAUUCUUUCUUUUUUUGUUUAAAAAAAAAAAAACAAAUAAAAAGUUGAAUCGAUCAGACCACCUGAAAAGGGUAGAAACUUGUGCUGUGACUAAGCACACAAUUAUGUGCAAACAUGGGGUAAAAUUACCUGUGAUGCCAUGACUUUAAUUCUCAUCCACAAGACUCCGAAGUAGACUACCCAAAGAGUCAGUCACUUUGUGUAAACAACAGUAAAAUCCAAUCGAUAAAUCCAACAAACGUAUAACUACAUACAUACAUGCAUACGUUGUUCAUACACACACACAGAGCCAGAGAAACUUGGGAGUUCCCAUAUUCAUUUUCCUAAACAAUCUUGACAAAAAAAGACAAUCUUUGUCGAGGCCUUGUCAAAUGGCUUUGGCACUAGGCAACGGUUAAUUCUUAUACCAGCCGCUAAGAAAGCGCAGCAAUUACAUUAAUAUCCCUGCCUUGUUUGGUUCCACAUCGCAAUUCCUGGGGUUUUCCUAAAGGGCUCAUUGUUUUUCUUCAUUUCAUUUUACACCAUAAAAAUUUGUAGGGGUGUGCUUGAUUGCAAGGAAUUUGAAUGAAUAUUUUUAAUUGUUGGUCAAAGUUGUUAACAUAUUGGUGUGAAACCAUUGAAUGACUCUUUUGUAAGGAAAACUGGUUGAAGCAAUCGCGAUAAUGAAAUAUGUAUUUCUUGUAAAUUUCAUUUUAUGUAAUUUCAAGAAGUCUGCGUUCAACACUUUUUACGCGUAAUUAUUAUUUUCGGUUUUUUACUUAUAUUUUUGUUGAACAAGUGAUCCCCUAAAUUUUUACACUCAACACAUACAUAUUAGUCAACAUAUGAUGGGAUUUGCAUGUGCAACUAACAAAACUUAUAAGUCUUUGAAUAUUUAAAUUUUCGACCUUGAAGUGUACAGACUUUUCAUUUGGUACAAAACUUGUAGCCAACUUUUGUAGACUAGCAAGAUGCAAUUUAUUUAGGGAAACAUUUUUUAUUUAUAAAAUUCCAAAUCGAAAACAUGUAAUGGGUCGAUACUUUCAAUUAAGGACAUCAAAACCAGCCGUAUUGAUUAGGUAGGUAGGUAGGUCGAUCUAUGUAAGGGUUUAGCCCCCGUUUGACCCCAUUUUUCGAAGUAAAAAUGGGUGGAAUAGUAUUUUUUUGAAAAAUGAAUGGUUGAAAAAGAAGUAAAAAUUUUCGGUUUACGUAUAAUAUUAUUUUAUGAAAGAUUAUGUGGUUGAAAAUAAAAGAGCGAAAAAUGAAAUGUCAUUAAUUUAAUGUAAUGGGGGCCAAACAGGGGCUUAAUUGACACGAUCCUUAUAUGAUCUAUGAUAUUUUAUUUGAUACUUAUCCAUUUGAAUUUUUUUUUUUAAAUAUGAUAAACGGCUAUCAAAUUGCGGGCUUAAAGGUUAAACUCACAAGGUUUUUGCUCUGAUGAACCCUCAAAACAAUUUAUUAGGAAAAAAAAUAACUAAAUAUAAUGUUUAUUAUGAAAAUAUUAUCUAAUUGAAAAACAUGCUUGAAAAUAUAGAAAAAUCAAACAAACAAAACUUUGAAUCUAAUUACAUUAUAGUAUUAUUUUAUUCAACUUGUUUACCCAAUUUUGGCUACUUGCCUCUCAUAAUUUCUGUGAAAAUAAUAAUCCAACCAAAUCAUAAACAAUAAUUCAUAACUGCUGUAAACAACAUCACAUAAAGUAAUUUGAUGCAUUGCACAACAAUCUUUGAUGUUAUUAUUUAAGAAGCUUUAAAAAAGUCAAUUAGGCCCCUCAAAUGCUCAUCCCACUUUGAACGACUCGAUCUAACAAAUUGAUACUAAAUUUAUUGAUAAUGAGAUUUAAUUUUCCGUAUAACAGUCUUUAUCAAAUAACUAGUUCAUCAAACUGUACCUUGAUUUAAUUUGAUUUCUUAAUAGGAACCAAGCUUGCGGCAGAGGAAGGAAUUGCUUUGGUGUUGAUGGUGGUCGUUUUGGGCUGUUCGAUUCAUCGGUAUUUCGGGAUUUCACCAGAGGAAUUUGCUGUUGAGUAGCGAUGUCCCGACCGGCAAACUUUUGAGGAGGAAAGAAGAAAUCAGUGGGGAAGAAUUUGUACUGAAGUCCAGCCAUGGAUGUAUAGAAAUGAGUUAUGUUAGAGUAUAGAGCUUUUUUGUUAAGAAUUUUGAUUCGGCCUUUCACUUAUUUAUAGAGCCACAUUAUCCAAGGGCCUGUUUGCCUUUCAAUAAUGCUUAGUUUUUUUUUUUUUUUUUAAUUAUUAAAGUAAUUAUAAACAUAGGAAACUUGAUUAAAAUUUUUAUCUUCGUCAAAACUCAAGGGAAAUUCAUACUUUACUCAAUUUUCACCUACUCUUAAUUAAAAGUCUUUGAGAAUCAAGUUCUAUGUCAAUGUUUUGAAAACCGACCAAAUCAUCGAUCCGGAAAAGAUCAAAAGGUUCAUUCAACUGGGGUUGAACAGGGAUCAAACCGGAUGCAAUAAAUACAUACAAAAAUAAUAAAAUACUGUGAAAAUAAUAAUUUUUUUUAAAAAAUUUCAUAUUAAUAAUUUGUUAAUUAGAUUCGUUAUUCUAUAAUUUGCUAACAUUUUUGUUAUACCACUAUGCCACAUUGGAAGCUAUAAAAUCAUUGGAAAGAAGUUUAUAAAAUCAUUUGAGAAAAAAACACAUCUAUGAAAGGAGCAUGUCAUCCAAUUAGGCCUUUGAAUUUUUGUUUAUGAGGCCCAUUUAUGAAGUUCAAAACUUUUAAACUAAAAAAAUAAAAAAGGGAAAACCACAAAACUGCAACAGGUUCACAUUAAACCGACCGGUUUAGUGCAUUUUUAAGUAGUUAACUGGGUAUGAUUGGCUCGAUUUUGGUCCCGGUUGGUUUUGAUAACAUUGAUCUAUGUAUCAAUUGUUGCCAUUGAUGGUGUGUUUAGUGUUUUGAAAAAGCUUUUUGGAAUUUAAGUUGAAAAUGGAAAAUAAAAUUAAUAGUUGCCACCAAACAAGCCUUUAGCUAUCGUUGACCAUUUUGGGAGGCUUUGCAAUUAGAAGUCUAAUUUGAAAUAAUUUUUUAUUCGAAGAAUAUUCUAGACCAUAUACUCCACCUAAACGGUUGAACCCUAACAUUGAAGGCUCCCACCGCUCCGCCCUUGGAGCAUCAUGAGGAAGGUAAAUCGCUGGAUGUGCCCAAACAGACUAGAGAACACAAGCUUGUUUAUACAUUGGUGCCCGCAAAGAGUCAAAUUUCAUAUCUGAGGAAUUGAAUCCUCACACUGCGGCUGCCAGCAAGGUUGAGACUAUCUCACUCAUAUUCUUUGCACCACUGGGUUAUACCCCGGGGGCCAUAUACUCCACCUAACUUUCAUAAAAAGACCAUGCUAGGUAAUCGCCAACCAAAUACACACAAACAUGGGGUGGGAAUUUUUCAGGUAAUUUUUUAAUGAGGUGGGUCUCGCAUCAUGUGAGGAAUCUGUUAAAACUCUGUAGAACUGACCAUAUACACCCAUCAAAAUUCUUUAUAAGAUCCAUACCAUUUUAUUGGUGAGUAAAAAAUAAAAACUAUAUAAAAUUAACUGGCCUCAUUUUAAAUUUGAAUAAUUAGGACUCAUAGCAUGAAUAAUGACGUGUUUGCGAGAUUUUUUUAACUUUAUUAAUAAUUAAUUAUUUUUCUUUCUGUUUUUAUACGAUGAUUGGUUAGAUUGAUGAUUAAAAAUAAUAUGACAAAUUUAAAUUAUGGUUGAAAAAAAUUCCCGAACCGAAUAAAGCAGUUAGAUACAAUUCGAUUUUUUUUAGGAUAAAUACCCGAAUGGAUACUAGAAUUGAGAAUCGAUGGAUUUGGUUUGAUUCACGAUUCUAUAUCAAUAAUCAAAGAACCGAAUUUUCCUAAUUUUUUUUAUAUUGAAUAUGCUAAAUUAUUUUUUUUCUAAAUAAAUUUGUCGAUUAAUUAAUUAAGUAAUUAGUUAGUGGAAUUUACACCCAAUACAUUCUUUUUAAUACAUAUUCAUAUUUUACUAUAAAAUAUUUUUUAUAACAAAACUAAUGCAUUUUAUAUAGUACAUAUGGUAACUAAAAAAUUACACCUCUCAUCAUUAAUUUAUUCAAUGGCUAUAAUCUCUCCUCCAAACAUGGCACAUCACUCCCGAUUUUAUUGCCAAAAUCCCUAAAUCAUAGCAUUAUUCUUUGAAGAAAAUGCCCAAAAUCACUAGUCUCCUUGAAUCGAAGAGCCAGGAGAAUUUUUAGGCAGAAAGCGAAAUUUUAAGAGGGUUAACAACUACUAAAGUAGUCGUUGAAUGUCAAGAUAGAAUCAGAUGUUGUUUUAGUCUAUUAACGACCACAUAUUAUGGUCGUUGAAUGUUUAAUAUAUUUUUUGUAUUUUUAACAACCAAUUACGUUGUCAUUGAAUAUGAAUAGACAUUUAGCGGGAAUUUUUGAUUUGACGUUCACUCAGAGCAACCAAUUUGAUUUGGUCGUAAAAGAUAUAGAAUUAACAACUAUUUUGGGCUGUUAUGAAAUAUUUCCAACUAAUUUGAAAUUUGAUUCUUCAUCAUCCAUUUUGUACAACCAAACUUAAUAUUUAGUUGUUGAAAAAAACUUUUAACAACCAAAUUGAUUUGGUUGUUGAAACAUUAGUCAUAAAAUAUCAUUUUUUUCGUGUAAUGUGAACGGUUAAAAAUAAUAAUAAAAAAAAAUAUUCAUAGACCGUUCACUUAUAUGAAAUCAAGUAUAAUUUUAAGCAAUAGGACUGUGAAAAAUCCGUUGCAUCGUGUACUGAAUCCGAUCCUUAACCAUGAGAUCUUUCUUUAAAACGGCCCCUUGAUCAGUUCAUUGUCAAAGGUAAUGAAGAGACCACAAUAGUGACUGCCCAAUGUCAAUAUGUAGGAGUACAAUUUGGAACGUCCUCUUGUUUUUGUAAAAUCUGAAUUCAAAUAUACUGGUCCCUAAACUUCAACCACCAUCGUGCUGCAAAAAGAACCGAGAGCAUAAAUCCUGCGGAGUCCUUAGGUGUCUUUCCAAAUUUCUGAGCUUGGUUGAUUGUGAUAGAAUGAUCCAGUUACAAUUUAAGAUUAAUGUUAGAUCAAGAGACUAAAGGGUUUGAUUGUAAUAAAAAUAAAAAAUAAAUUUCUCAUCUUUUAUUUUCAAUAUUUUAGAUUUAUAUUUAGAGGGAACUUGAAACCCCAAGCUCAUGACAUCAGUACAUUAUUAUUGAUUUUGUAGUUUAGAAGUGGCUUAUCUUUUUAUUCAAAUUUUCGGAUUGCUGAUUUUUCAGUGCUUUAUUUCUCUGUGUUGUUUUUGAUUAAUUUUUUUAUGUGGAUGUUGUUGAUUAUUCUGAACAAUUUAUGAUCAACAAUUUCAAUCCCAGUCAUUUUGGUUUUUUAAUUCUUAAUUUCAAAAGGAAUCUGCCCUUUUUUUUUUUUGGGCAAGAAUUUAAUCAUAGUAUGCUUUUAGGUGAGAAGAAUCAGGAAAUUCCUUUCAAUACCAAAAAAGGAUGAAUUUUCCUGCACAACAACCACCUUUUCUGUUGAGCGCGGAAGCUCUAAUAACACACAUUGAUUCGAAACCAGAUUGUAGAGAACGAAAUUGUAAUGAUAAUAUUGAAGUUAACAAGAUCACACCACGAAACAAGGUUUAAAUUGUAAAGAGAAACAUAAGGAUUAACGCAGAGAAACGAUGUUUAUUGAAUCAACAAUAUGAAGAAUAUAAAACAAUCUAACAAUUGAUUUCUAUCUGUUACAUCUAAUAAAAUUGACAGAGGAGCAUUUUAUUUAUAGGCCAACCCUAGAAGAGUCCUAAAAGGCAAGAAAAUAUAUUACAAUUAAGAGACCCAAUUUUAACAAGAUUUUGUUUCCUUUUGGUUGGAUGUAGUUAGAUUUAUUUUUCAAGUAAAAAUCUAACACGCAUCUUCCAAAGACUCCUAACCAAUUUCUAGCACUUGAUCAAAUUCUAAAUCAACAAUAAUCUUGACACAUUUGAUUCACCAAAUCUAACAAUAUCCACCUUGACUCAAAUUCCGGUGCUAUGAACAGAACUCCUAAAUAUCAAAUCCAUCUACAUCGAAAUUAAUUGACUGAAUCUCUCUAACACAGUAAUCACUCCAUAUAAACUAAACACUCGUCAUCUACCAAACAUCCACAACAGACACCCAAACCCAAACCUAGGGUUCUCAAUUCCACAAAAGGAUUGAUGUUGAUCACAUAGGGCCGAAUCACACCCUGUAGCAAGAACCAAACCAGAUGCUUGAUCAGAAGGCCCCUUGUUGGAACUAUUGCCGUCAACAUCCCCAGAAGCGUCCCAGACAUUUCUGACACCACAGUACCUACACUUGAUGAGCAGUGUACCCGCUGAAAUUGGUGGCAAAGUGGGAUCACCAAUACUCUUCCUCAUAGUGUUUAGAACUGACUUAGAGUCUAAAACAAGAGGUACUGUACUAAACUGAACUUUCACCACUGUACUAAACUUGUCCAAAUGUCUCCUCUUAACUGGUUCUGCAUUUUCCCACAAAAUGUACAACUAGGAUCUUCUUCAUCUCUCCAGUACAACCCAGACUCCCUUUCGAACCUUCAAAACUCCAUCUCUUCCAGAGAAUUUAUACCAUUUUUGCUUCCAAGGUACUUAGCGAAAUGAGAUUCCUUUUCAGGUCAAGAACAUGUCGAACCUAAGCAAUUGUUCUAAAUGUUCCAUCCCGCAGCCUCAAUCAGACUCGACCGAUCCUAGUAAUAUGGUAAGAUUGUUUGUUUCUCAGUACAACUCCACCUUCCUGAACAACCUUAUAUGUCUGAAAUAAAUUUCUAUCGGAACACAUAUGAUGCGAACAUGUCAAAUCAAGAAUCCACUCCUCAUCAAGCCUAGAUUACACAUUAGAUACCAUGGUCAACAUCACCUCUUUACCAUAUGAAUAAUUCUAAACUACGUUGGUUUCGUCUUAAUUCAAAGGUUGCAUCCCACGGUUGUAGCUAAAUCACCUUUAGCCUCUAACAUAUCGCAAUCCUUCCAAAUAUGUCACUUCGUUUUACAGUAGUAACAAAUUACAUUGCUAAAUUUAACUCUCGAUCUACCUGUUCGUCAACCACCUUGAGACACAAGAGCUUCCCCAUCCCUUGAUGUAGCUCUAACCAAAUGUUUCAUUUUCUCUUUUUUGUGUGCAAAGCAUCAUAGACAUCUUCUAUAGUCAAAGUAUUUUAACUAUACAAGAUAAUAUCUUAAAACAACGCAUAAGACCCAGGCAUGGAACAUAACAGGAUCAAGGGAAGAUCCUCUUCAUCGUACUUAAUCUCUAACGUUUUUAGAUCUGUGACUAUUUCCUUGAACAUGGUAAUAUGAUCUUCCAACGACUCUCCUUUCGUCAUGCGAUGUGAAUACAGCUUCUACUUAGAAGCCAGUUACUUGUAAGACUCUUAGUCAUACAUAACUACUCUAACCUCAACCAUAAAGCAGUCGUCGUUUUCUCUUUCAAGACAUCCUGUGGAACGUUGUUGGACAGAUGAAGAUGAAUCAAUGACGUAGACUUUCGAUACUUCUGUUCAUUCUCUUCCAUUGUCUAUUCAACUGGCAUCCUCUCAAAACCCAACAACGUAUUUUCCAAAUCCAACUACGCCAAAACAACCCUCAUCUUUACUUGCCACAAUGAGAACCUUGUAUUGUGAUCUAAUUGCAGGAUAUCAUACUUCAACCCAUCCAUCCCAAAAUAAUCUCAAACAAUCCAUAGAAAAUCAACAACCUAGCUCUGAUACCACUUGUUGAGAAUGGAAGCUCCAAUAACAUACAUUGAUUUCAAACCAGAUUGUAGAAAACGAAAUUGUAAUGACAAUAUUGAAGUAAACAAGAUCACACCACGAAACAAGGUUUAAAUUAUAAAGAGAAACAAAAGGAUUAACGCAUGAAAACGAUGUUCAUUGUAUCAACAAUAUGAAGAAUACAAAGCAAUAUAGCAAUUGACUUCUAUCUGUUACACCUAAUAAAACUGAUAGAGGAGCAUUGUAUUUAUAGGCCAACCCUAGAAGAGUCCUAAAAGAUAAGAAAAUAUAUUACAAUUAGGAAACCCAAUUUCAAUAGGAUUUUGUUUCUUUUUUGUUGGAUGCAAUUAGAUUCCCUUUCCAAAUAAAAGUAUAACACACAUUUUCAAAAGACUCCAAACAAACUUCUAGGACUCCACUUGAUUAAAUUCUAAAUCAACAAUAAUCAUAACACAUUUGAGUCACCAAACCUAAGAUCAUCCUCCAUUCCUUCCUCUACCUUUUGCCGGUGGAGAUGUUGAUAAGUUUUGCAUAUAUGCUCAUGGUGUUGAAAAUGUAUGGAAACACCCUCCAAAUUGGAAAGAACUUGUUCGAGGAAAGAAGAGAAGCAUCGGGAAUUUUAGUGAUGACCAAAGAAUGAUACAUAAGAUAAAAAUCUGCAAUUUGUUUUACAACGGACAUGAGUGUCGGUAUGGAGCGAGAUGCAGCUUUCUUCAUGAAUGUUCAAUGAAAUUUAUGACUGACAUUUCAAGGCAAAAGAGAGAGAAUAUUGUUAAAAAGUAUUGGAACUCCAUGGCCUGAUUUGAUACAUAAAAGUGAUUAUGCUCAUGCGGCUCAGCUUGAUUAUGGUAAGAACGUCAGCAGUAGUUCCGAUACUUUCCAAGUAAAGACAACAUUUUUGAAAAAGAAACUAGGUAGCAAACGAGAGAUCGACGAAUGCCCUUUCGGAGAAACGUGUCAUUUUCCAAUAUAUAUACUUUUGUUUCUAUCGAUUUGCAGUUAUUUUGUGCUCGUGUUGAGGCAGAGCUGGUAAUGAAUUUAGGCGGCAAAAUUCCAGAAGAGUCUCUCCUGGUGCCAGUAAUUGGUUCAUCUCUUACAAAUGUAGUUAUUGUUGCUCCUACAAAAGAACAUGCAGAAAGAAAGAAAUGGAAGCCUGACAGACCGGUUAAGGGAGUUUAUUCUGAUUUGUUGGAUGAUUUCUUGCGACCUCACAACUCCCCUAGAAAUGAGGAGAUAUGAAUUUGAGAUUAGUAUCUCUCAAAUCCUAUCAAAAUGGUUGAAGUUUAAUGAUUAUGAUCUUUUUACUAAACUUUUUCGCUUUAUAUGAGCUAUUGGUAAUUUUUAAUUUCAAUUAUAGGGUUUAUGUAUUCUCCUUCAAUGAUUUGAAUUAUUCGGUGUAAUUUUGAUUGAAUUAUUUUCUUUAGAAGGUUCAUCAUGAUAUAUUUUUUAACUUUCUAAUGGAUAUGUAGUUUUUGCCUCCUUACAAGGACAUGCAAAUGUAAUCAAACAAGUUUUUCUCGUCAACACAGACCCAAGGUUGUGAAAAUAAAUUUGGUUGCCCUUAAAGAGGCCCGAUAUCGGCCAUUUAAAAAUAGAAAAAAUUUCAUAAGUAAGAGAUUAAGUAUGACAUAUUUCAAAAUAAAGAAAACAAGUUUAAAACUUAAAAGAUCACACAUAUAAUAUUUGUGACCAUAGCACUGCAACCAUCACAUAUAGCUACAGUGACCAUCGCCAGCGACCACCACCACAAAACUCACUUCCACCGCCAGAUCCACCUUCACGAUUAGAUCCACCACCAUUGUUAACAACCGACACCCCCAUUCACUACGUGAAACAUCUCUGCCACCAUAGCACCGUCACCAUCGCAAAUUCACACCCACCUAAACUGUUAGAUCUAUCACUACAACCGCUAACACAAAAUCGCCAUCACAGAUUCACAAAGGGAUCUAAUGCAAAUACAGGAAAGGAAAUGAGAGGGAGAAGUCGACGUGUAAUGCCCCGACCCCUAAUGGACCGAAACGCUAUUUUCAUUACUUAGCUUAACCAGUGGUUUAGUAACAAGUGUAUACAUUUUAGCAAAAGCUUACAUCUCCGGAUAAUAAUUUAAAUAACAAUACUUCAAAUACUUUAAACAAAAACACUUAAUCAUUUUUCAAAACAACAAAAUGUAAUUUAUUUGAAGAAAACAUAACUUGUUCUCGCAUUCUGCGUUAUUCAAAACUUUAAAGAAAUAAAAUUGGAAAACAUUUCAUAAAAAUAAAUCCAAAUCACUUAUUCACCGGAUUUCCAUAGGCUCGUUGCAUCACUCUCCAUCUUCUCCUCCAUCCAUGCCCGAGGUAGAAAUCCUUCAAUCUGUAGAGAUAGGAUUAGACCCAUGAGUUGAAAAAUUCAAUAGGUGCCAUAGGUGCAUUCGUGAUCAAGCUAUACAUUUCAAAAUAUUAACUUUAUAACUUUUCAUACAUGUCAUACCCGGAGGCACCAUUUGACAUGAAGGGGUAUGCCGUACCCAAGGGCACCAUUUGACAUAUGAACAUUUCUUCAACAUAGAGGGGUAUGCCGUAACGGAGUACCAUUUGACAUACAAACAUUAACAUGAAUCGAAACUUAUAACUUAACACGAUUAAACACAUUGCACCUCUGUCUACCUUGAUUGAUGCUUUUGAAACUUUGAAAACUUCGAUUGAGAACUUCGAUGAAAUUUGAACGUUGAAAGAAAUGCACUCCUUAGAUGUUUGAAAACCGUUGAGAAUUGAUGCUUGUAAACACUUCUUAAAUUUCUAGGAAAAAUAGUUUUCCUCCCUCUCUUUUUCUCUCUUGGAAACUCUUUUUUUAGUAUAUAAAAGCUCUUGCUUUUGGUGUGAGAAAAAAUGAGUGAAAUGAGGUCUCUAUUUAUAGGUAAAUAAUCCAUAACUUAAAGCAAAUGAAGGGUCAAAUUUCAUUUAAGAAAGAAAACAUGAGUAUCAUUUAAGUUUGAGGUUAAAUACUUCAAUUUAGUGGGGGUUUUUUAUUGCCAAAAACGUGAGUGGCCCUUUAAGAAAAUAAUUGAUGAAAAUAAAUAUUUAAAUUCUAGUGAAAAACGAGAAUUUUUAUUUAAGGCAGUUUCGGUCGAUCGGUUGUAGUCCGGUAGACACUGUACAGUUUUCAAUGUUUCAAUCAUAACUUCUUUUCCCGAUAUCCGAUUGAGGUAAUUCAAAGUGUGUUGGAAAGCUAACUCAAAGAGCUAUAACUUUUAUUUAGAUAUAAUUUUCCAAAUCAAAUGUUUCCUAUGUCGAAAAUCAGUCUCAAAUGAGACUAAAAAUUUGAAGUAUAUUUUAGUCAUCCAAUAUUCAUAUCUUAGUGCCACUAAAGUGUCUAGAAUUAUUUGGGGUUCUACAUCCCCCACACCUUAAUUAAAAUUUCGUCCUAGAAAUUUACCUUCUAAUUGGGCGAAUAGUAUUGGAUACUUAUCUUUAGCUUCUUCUUCUUUUUCCCAAGUGGCUUCUUCUACGCCGUGAUGAUUCCACUGUAUCUUAACCAGCUGAAUCUCUUUAUUCCUUAGUUUAUGCACUUUUCGAUCCAAUAUCUUGAUUGGUAGUUCCUCGUACGACAAAUCUUUCUGUACCUCCAAGGUUUGAUAACUCACUACAUGAUUAGAAUCAUGUACAUACUUCUUUAUCAUCGAUAUAUGGAACACAUUGUGCACUGCCGAUAAUUCAGGUGGCAAAGCUAGUCGGUAAGCCACAUUUCCGACUCUAUCAAGUAUCUCUAAAGGUCCGAUAUACGGGGGGUCAUAGCUUGCCUUUCUUUCCAAAUCUAAGUACACCUUUCAUCGGUGCUACUUUCAGAAACACUUUAUCCCCAACUUGGAAUUCUAAAUCCUUCCUUCUUGUAUCUGUAUAGCUCUUUUGUCGAUCCUGUGCUGCCUUUAUUCUUGCACGGAUCUUAUCGAUUAUCUCGACCGUCCUUUCAACUGUUUCUGGUCCUAAAACUCUCUUCUCUCCGACUUCAUCCCAAUGAACAGGGGAUCUACAUCUUCUACCAUAGAGAGUUUCGUAUGGUGCCAUUCCAAUAGUUGCUUGGAGACUGUUAUUAUAAGCGAACUCUACUAAAGGUAAGUAUGACUCCCAAUUACCUCCUAGAUCCAAAUCACAUGCUCUCAGCAUGUCUUCCAAAGUUUGGAUGGUCUUUUCAGACUGACCAUCGGACUGAGGGUGAUAUGUUGUACUAAAGUUCAACUUCGUUCCCAUAGCUCCUUGUAGACUUUUCCAAAAUUUAGACGUGAACCUUAGGUCUCUGUCAGACACAAUGGAUACAGGUACACCGUGUAAUCUCACAAUCUCUUUAAUGUACAACUGUGCUAAUUGGUCUAAAUUGAAUGUCAUUUUCACUGGAAGAAAAUGAGCUGACUUCGUUAGUCGAUCCACUACUACCCAUAUAGCAUUAUUUCCUCUUGUUGACUUCGGGAAUCCAACCACAAAGUCCAUCGUGAUAUUUUCUCAUUUCCAUUCAGGUAUAUCUAGUGGAUUUAACAAUCCAGCUGGUUUUUGGUGUUCUGCCUUAACCUGUUGACAUACCAUGCACUUCUGCACGUACAGCCCUAUACUUCUUUUCAUAUUUCUCCACCAAAAUGUAUCUCGAAGAUCUCGAUACAUUUUCGUAUCACCGAGAUGUGCGGUGUACGUGGUGGAAUGAGCUUCUUUCAAUAUCUCGUUUCUCAAGGCUUCAUCCUUAGGCACGUAAAUUCGUCCUCUAAAUAUCAGUGUCUGAUCCUCAGCUAUUUCAAAGUCCUUUUUCUUAUCGGUACCAACUUCAUUCUUAAUCUUUUGCAAAAAUGAGUCUUUAUUUUGUGCUUCUAUAAUUCGAUCUCUAAGAGUAGGUCGAAUUAUUAAAGUUGUUGGACGAGUAGUGACUUGUCCUGGUGUGGUAACUACUUUGAUCUGCAACUUUUCCAAGUCCUUGACUAACUCCACUUGAGAGGUGGGUAGUGACGUCAAUUGUCCCAUUGAUUUUCUACUUAGAGCGUAGGCCACAACAUUAGCUUUACCCGAAUGGUAGUGAAUAGUGCAGUCGUAAUCGUUCACCAAUUCCAACCAUCGUCUUUGUCGUAUAUUCAAUUCCUUCUGUAUGAAGAAAUACUUGAGACUUUUGUGAUCUGUGUAGAUAUCACACUUCCGUCCAUAUAAGUAAUGUCGUCAUAUCUUCAAAACGUGUACUACCGCUGCAAGUUCUAAAUCAUGCGUCGGGUAAUUCUGCUCACGUUUUUUCAAUUGUCUUGAAGCAUAAGCUAUCACUUUUCCAUUCUGCAUUAGUACACAUCCCAAUCCUCGCUUGGAUGCGUCGCUGUGUAUAACAAACCCUUCCGUACCUUCAGGUAUUGUUAAUACAGGUGCUGAUAUCAACUUCUGCUUAAGUCUCUGGAAACUUUGUUCGCAUUUUUCCGUCCAUUGGAAUUUUACUCCCUUCCUUGUAAGCUGCGUCAUUGGUUCAGCUAUUUUGGAGAAUCCUUCUGUGAAUCUCCUAUAAUAUCCAGUCAAUCCUAGAAAAUUUCGUAUAUCGCUAGCAUUUGUUGGUGCUUUCCAGUUGGUUACUGCUUCUACUUUUGCUAGAUCCACUUCAAUCCCUUGGGCAGUAACUACAUGUCCAAGAAAUCCAACUCGUUCAAGCUAAAACUCGCACUUCUUGAAUUUGGCAUAUAGCUUCUCCUUGCGUAAUACCUCUAAAGCUAUUCUCAAGUGCUCUUCAUGUUGCUCCUUACUCUUGAAAUAUAUCAGAAUGUCACCAAUGAAAACUAUGACAAACUUAUCCAAGUAUUGAUGAAACACUCGAUUCAUCAAGUCCAUGAAAACUGUAGGUGCAUUGGUUAGCCCAAACGGCAUCACCGUAAACUCGUAGUGUCGAUAUUGAGUUCUAAAAGUUGUCUUAGGUAUAUCCUUUGUCUCUACUUUCAGUUGAUAGUAUCCCGAUCGUAAGUCGAUCUUGGAAAAUACCUUAGCUCCUUUCAGAUGAUCUAACAGAUCCUCGAUCCUCGGGAGUGGGUACUUAUUCUUGAUGGUUAAUCGAUUUAUCUCCCUAUAAUCGAUGCACAUCCUCAUGCUUCCAUCUUUCUUCUUUACAAACAAUACCGGCGCACCCCAUGGAGAUACGCUUGGUCGUACAAAGCCCAUAUCUAGGAAUUCUUGCAACUGCUUCUUUAAUUCUUGUAGUUCCUUUGGGGCCAUUCGGUAUGGGGCCUUAGAUACUGUUGCUGCCCCUGGAAUUAGGUCUAUGGUGAAUUCCACUUGUCUAUCAGGUGGAAUACCAGAUAGAUCUUCUGAAAACACAUCUACGAAUUUUCGUACUACUGGUACAUCUUCAACCCUUAUCGUCUCUUGUUUCCCUCAUGAGAUACCUACUAGAUAUCCUUGACAUAUUUCUUUUCUCAAUAUCUUCUCAACUUGUAAAGCCGAUACUAGUCGAAUAAGGGGUUUUGUCUUCAUUCCAAGGAACGAAAAUGGUUCCUCUCCUGGUUUCUGAAAUGAUACUUCCAUUUCCUUACAUCGGAUGGUGGCGUAAUUACAACCUAACCAAUCCAUGCCUAGUAUUACAUCAAAAUCCUUCAUUUCUAUCAUAUAUAGGUUCACUUCCAUUGGUUUUCCCUCAACUUCGAUACUUACUGACUUGGCUAUUCUAUUAGUAUUCAAAGGGUUGCCCGAAGGAAUACUAACUUCUAUUGUACCUUCCGACUUAUCACAGGUAAUACUAAAUUUAGCCAUAAAAGUUGUUGAAGCAAAGGAGUGUGUAGCUCCUGAAUCAAACAAUACAUAAGCAGGUGUAUUGGCUAUUAGUAAAGUACCUGCUAUAACAUUAGAGUUUUCCUCUGCAUCCUGUUGAGUCAAUGCAAAAACUCGUGCUUUCCCUUUCUGGUUAUGGUCGCUGUUAUCAUCCUUCUUCUGGAUAUGUGUGGGACAAUCCCUAAUGAUAUGUCCUGGCUUGCCACAUCGGAAAUAGACAUUUUUCCUUUGUAAGCACUCGCCAUGAUGUGUCCUUCCACACUUAGAACAAGGCGCAAUAACAGGCACAAUGCUUUUACUGGCAUUGGCUCCGCCAUUAGCUUUCUUGUUCUGCCACUUGCCUUUUCCCUUGUCUUGGCCAUUCCAUUUCCUCUUUCCCAUGUUACCAUUGUCCGGUUGAUUGAACAGUUGACCAUGUUGUUCGGUGCUAGUCUUCUGGUACCAAAUAGCAUGAGCUCUUUCCAGCAUUUCACAGUAUGUGGUGAACGAUGGGACAUAAGUAUCAUGCUUAUAUCCAAGUUCAGCCAUUGUUCAAACCUUCGUACCUUCGUACCUUCUUAUCUUCCGUAUCCACCAAAUGUGGAGCAUACCUUGAAAGUUGAUCAAACUUCCUCUCAUACUCAGUCAGGGACAUAGUCUUUUGCUUGAGUUGGAGGAAUUCACUUUCUUUGUGAUCCCUCAAGGACUGGGGAAAGUACUUGUCCAUUACUUCCCCUUUGAAUUGCUCCUAAGUUAAUUCUGCUUGUUGCUCGGGGGUCCUUGUCCUUGACAUUGAGUCCCACCAGUGACUUGCAUCACCGAAGAACAUGAACUCAGCACACUGGACUUUCUGAGCGUCCGUGCACCCUAUCAAUCAGAAUAUACGCUUCAACUUGCGAAGCCACUCCUUGGCUGCAAGUGGAUCAGCUGCUCCGUUGAAGGUAGGGGGCUUGUGCNNNNNNUUUUAUUUCUUGACAUAUGGGAAGCUAUUACAAGGAUUUAAAUCUAAUCCCUAUAAGUUCUACGGAUCUUCUUUGGUGGAGCUUCAUCUUCGGAGGAGUCUUCCGCCUCAGGUCCGGACUCUAUGUCCAUCUCAAUCUGUGGCUCAAGCUUAGGAUCAUUCUCUAAAUUAUCCUUGGGUUCUUCUUCGGGAUCUUCUUCCUCAGCCAAAGGUUCCUCCUCAGGCUCCUCAUGGACUAUAUCAUCCCACAAAUCAAUCAGGGCAUGGCAAUACCUCUCAAACUCGAACAAGUUUGGGUUGCCUUCUAACAUUUCAUCCCUAACCGUGACUCCCAUAUCUCCCCAUUGAGGUGGGAGGGAGUGUAUGAGGUUAUUUAUGGCCUCAAUAUGCGUGAUCUCCAUACCAACAUUAAUCGCCGUCAUGCAUCUCUCAUAGAUGUCAUACACAUGUUCGCUAAGUGGUCGGGUCGGAUCAGUUACAUAGUUUUCAUAGGAAUGAAUAGCAAUUCUACGGUUCAAUGCUUCUCUAUAUGCCCUAGCCGUUCUACGAGCCAUAUCUGUUGCAUUUUCACAUACAUCAUACUUUUUCUUUGCUUAAAGAAAACAUGCAAAUAUUUAAACUUUCAUAUCAUGCAAUUCCCUUUAAGCCCUUAGCUUUUGCCCAAGUCCAUUACAUAUCUUUAAAUAAUACAUCUCUAAAUUAUAUCAAAGUAUCAUAAUAUAAACAUAAUCAUUAACUUUAAACAUAAACAUACCUGGGCCAUAGGAUGAGGUUGAUGGAUGGAUACACAAUACCAUGGAAUACCUUAAACUUUUCAUUUUCUUUUUUGUUUUUAAAAAAAAUAUACUUGGUCUACAGAACCGGCACAACCUUGCUCUGAUACCCCGUUAAAACGCCCCGACCCCUAGUGGACCGGAACGCUACUUACUUUACUUAGCUUAACCGGUGGUUUAGUAACAAGUGUAUACGUUUUAGCGGAAGCUUACAUCUUCGGAUAAUAAUUUAAAUAACAAUACUUCAAAUACUUUAAACGAAAACACUAAAUCAUUUUUUUAAAACAACAAAAUGUAAUUUAUUUGAAGAAAAUAUAACUUGUUCUCGCAUUCUGCGUUAUUCAAAACUUUAAAGAAAUAACAUUGGAAAACAUUUCAUAAAAAUAAAUCCAAAUCACUUAUUCACCGGAUUUUCAUGGGCUCGUUGUAUCACUCUCCAUCUUCUCCUCCAUCCAUGCCCAAGGUAGAAUUCUUUCAAUCUGUAGAGAUGGGAUUAAACCUGUGAGUUGAAAAACUCAAUAGGUGUUAUAGGUGCAUUCGUGAUCAAACUAUACAUUUCAAAAUAUUAACUUUAUAACUUUUCAUACAUGCCGUACCUGGAGGCACCAUUUGACAUGAAGGGGUAUAUCGUACCCGAGGGCACCAUUUGACAUACGAACAUUUCUUCAACAUAGAAGGGUAUGCCGUACCGGAAUACCAUUUGACAUACAACCAUUAACAUAAAGGGAUAUGCCGUACUGGAGUACCAUUUGAUAGACAAACAUUAACAUUAAUCGAAACUUAUAAUUUAACACGAUUAAACACAUUGCAUCUCUACCUACCUUGAUUGAUGCUUUUGAAACUUUCAAAACUUGAAUUGAAAACUUCGAUGAAACUUGGACGUUGAAAGAAAUGCACUCCUUGGAUGUUUGAAAACCGCUUAGAAUUGAUGCUUGGAAACACUUCUUAAACUUCUAGGAAAAAUAGUUUUUCUCCCUCUUUUUUUCUCUCUUGGAAACUCUUUCUUUAAUAUGUAAAAGCUCUCGCUUUUGGUGUGAGAAAAAAGAGUGAAAUGAGGUCUCUAUUUAUAGGUAAAUAUUCCAUAACUUAAAGCAAAUAAAGAGUCAAAUUUCAUUUAAGAGAGAAAACAUGGGUGCCAUUUAAGUUUGAGGUUAAAUGCUUCAAUUUAGUAGGGUUUUUUUAUUGCCAAAAACGUGGGUGGCCCUUUGAGAAAAUAAUUGAUGAAAAUAAAUAUUUAAAUUCUAGAGAAAAACGAGAAUUUUCAUUUAAGGUAGUUUCGGUCGACCGGUUGUAGUCCGAUUGACAAUGCACAAUUUUCAGUGUUUCUAUCAUAACUUCUUUUCCCGAUAUCCGAUUGAGGUAAUUCAAAGUGCGUUGGAAAGCUAACUCAAAGAUCUACAACUUUUAUUCAGAUAUCAGUUUCCAAAUUGAAUGUUUUCUAUGUCAAAAAUUAGUCUCAAAUGAGACUAAAAAUCUGAAGUAUACUUUAGUCAUCCAAUAUUCAUGUCUUAGUGCCACUAAGGUGUUUAGAAUUAUUUGGGGUUCUACACGAUGUCGUUGGAUUGGAGAUGGGUGACGACGACACUUCUUCUAUAUAUAUAUAUAUAUAUAUAUAUAUAUAUAUAUAUAUAUAUAUAAUAAGUUCUGAUUGUGAAAUACUAAACAUGCCAUCUGAUUCAUGAAAUGGAAAUUUCAAAUCUAUUAGAAUAUGUAAUUUCCACUUAAAAAUAGUACUCGGUUGUCCAACUGCAGCAGAUUUUUAAUUCUUUCUUUUUUUGUUCAAAAGAAGUGGGAAAAAUCUGAAUCGAUGAGACCACCUAAAAAGGGGAGAAACUUGUGUUGCGAUUAAGUGCACAAUUAUGUGCAAACAUGGCGUAAAAUUGUCUAUGAUACAAUGACUAUAUUCUCACCCACAAGACUACGAAGUAGACUACCCAAAGAGUGAGUCACUUUGUGUAAGCAACAGUAAAAUCCAAUCGACAAAUCCAACAAACAUAUAACUAUAUACAUACAUGCAUACGUUAUAAAUACACACAGAGAGAUACUUGGGAGUUCCCAUCUUCAUUUUCUUGGUUCUUGAUAAAAAAUAAAAAAUAAAAAACCUUUGUCGAAGCUUUGUCGAAUCGCUUUGGCGCUAGGCAAUGGUUAAUUCUUAUACCAGCCACUAAGAAAGUGCGGCAAUUACAUUAAUAUCCCUACCUUAUUCGGUUCCAUGUCGCAUUUCCAAGGGUUUUCCUAAAGGGCUUGCUGUUUUUCUUCAUUUCAUUUUACACCAUAAAAAAUUGAUUGCAAGGAAUUUGAAUGAAUAGUUUUAUUUGUUCGUCAAAGUUGAUAAUAUAUUGCUGUGAAACCAUUGAAUAACUCUUUUAUAAAGAAAAUUGGUUGACGCAAUCGCAACAAUGAAAUAUGUAUUUCUUGUAAAUUUCAUUUUAUAUAAUUUCAAGAUGUCUAUGUUCAACACUUUUUACUUGUAGUUAUUAUUUUUGGUUUUUUACUUAUAUUUUUGUUGAACAAGUGAUCCCCUGAAUUUUUACAGUCAACACAUACAUAUUAGUCAACAUAUGACGGGAUUUGCAUGUGCAACUAAUAAAACUUAUAAGUCUUAGAAUAUUAAAAUUUUCGACCUGGAAGUGUGCGGGCUUUUCAUGUGUUACAAAACUUGUAGUCGAUUUUUGUAGACUAGCAAGAUGCAAUUUACUUGGGCAUCAUUUUUUAUUCAUAAAAUUCUAAAUCAAAAACUUGGAAUGGGUCGAUACUUUCGAUUAAGGAUGUCAAAACCAGCCAUAUCGAUUAUGUAGGUAGGUAGCUCGAUCUAUGUAAGGGCUUUAAUUGACACGAUCCUUAUAUGAUCUAUGAUAUUUUAUUUGAUACUUGUUCAUUUGAAUUUAUUAUUAUUAUUAUUAUUUUUAAAUAUGAAAAGCGGCUAUGCAAAUUCGGGCUUAAAGGUUUAACUCACAAGGUUUUUGCUCUGAUGAACUCUCAAAACAAUUUAUUAGGAAAAAAAUAACAAAAUAUAAUGUUUAUCUAGUUGAGAAACAUGUAUGAAAAUAUAGAUAAAAUCAAGCAAACAAAACUUUGAAUCUAAUUACAUUAUAGUAUUAUUUUAUUCAAUUGGGUGACCCAAUUUUGGCUACUUGCCUCUCGAAAUUUCUUGGAAAAUAAUAAUCUAACCAAAUCAUAGCCAAUUCAUAACUGCUGUAAACAACAUCACAUAAAGUAAUUUGAUACAUUACACAACAAUCUUUGAUGUUAUUAUUUGAGAAGCCUUUAAAAAAGUUAAUUAGACCCCUCAAAUGCUCAUCACACUCUGAACGACUUGAUCUAACAAAUCGAUACUAGAUUUAUUGAUAAUAAGAUUUAAUUUUACAUAUAACAGUCUUUAUCAAAUAACUAGUACAUCAGACCGUACCUUGAUUUAAUUUGAUUUCUUAAUCGGAACCAAGCUUGCGGUCGAGGAAGUAAUCGCUUUGGUGUUGAUGGUGGUGAUUUUGGGCUGUUUUGGCUCGUCUGAUUCAUCGGUAUUUCGGGAUUUCACCAGAGGGAUUUGCUGUUGAGUAGCAAUGUCUCGGCCGGCGAACUUUUGAGGAGGAAAGAAGAAAUCAGUGGGGAAGAAUUUGUACUGAAGUCCAGCCAUGGGUGUAUAGAAAUGAGA
rnacentral:lncRNA from 1 species